rnacentral:lncRNA from 1 species
UUUUAGAAUUUCAGCAACAGCUUUUACUAGACUAAGGCUUCGUUUGAGAUUGCGGAGAGAUUGCGUUACGUGCAGUGAGAAACGACGAUGAAAAAAUAUCCUAUUUAUUUCCGUACAAAAUAUUGCGUUUCGUAUAUUACGACUAGUCGGUUACGAUAUAUUUUCUGCGAUCCUAUCGGAGAACGCAGAAGCAUAUUCUUAUAUGCUUCUUUUCAACUCCAUUUUAUCUAAUAGCGUUAGAUCCACAUCAAUACCAAACUAAGUCUAAGCUCGUAAUCGUGUGGUUAUUGCUAAACUUAUUCUUUUCAUUGCUAAACUUAUUCUUUUCUUUCGGUAUCGUAUCGUGUCAUGUUAUGUCAUUUAAAAUGAUGUGUUGAUUUCUGACCUCGCUCGCACUAUCAACAUAUCGCGAUCGAGAUCGUGUUAUCGUUUUCUUUUUUUGAAUCACCACCGUCUCCGUUGACUAAUAAUAGGAUAGUAGACAAGCCUUAAAUAAAUAAGAUUAAAACAGCCUUCAAUUAGUCAGUUUGGCUGGAAUUAAGAGCACCAAUAAUAAUAAUAACGCAAUAAAAUAUUCAAAUUCAAAGCAUCUUAGAUCCAACAACAACUGUUAACCCUGUUUUCUUUCAUAGACCAUAGCAAAAGAACAUUAAUAAAGGAGACACAGGAUACAUAGCAUGCAUUCCUAACCCCUUUUUUUUGUCAAAAAAAAAAAAAAAGGGACGAGAAAGAAAUGGCUAAGAAAGAGAUGGGCUUUGUACCUUUUUUAUUUAUCUUUUUUAAAAUGCUAACUACACGAUUAAUUAGUUGAAACUAAUCAUGCAUGAAUCCUCACCCGAGUGAUUAAUUAAUUGAUUAAUUGUUUAUGAGCUUUGAUAUUAGAUGUUUAGAUCCACAAAAGCCCACACUGUAGCUUUCCCACCUCCCAAAGCAUUAAUAAGAAACAUUGAUGUACACUGCCCCAUCCCCUUCAUCAGUCAUAAAUAUUCCUACGCAAUUAUUCCAUUUUUCCGCUCAUUUACAAAAUUCAUAACCCAACAAUAAAAUAGAAAAAAGUAUACAAACACAUCAAAUUUGAAUUAAUUAGUAGUGAAAAAAAAAAAAAAGAAGAAGAAAGGGGCUUAUUUUUAUACGUAGAUACAUAAAUAAAUCCCCUAAUUAAUUAAACUCAAUUAGUUCUUCUUUGUCGAAAGUGUGGUGGUAUACAUAACAUUUCUUUAUACUGAUAAAAAUCUAUCAAUAAUCCCAAGCUUAAUUUUUCUCUUCCCAAAUCCCCCCACCCCCCCAAAAAAAGAAAAAAAAAAACCCCAAAAUCAGAGAGAGAGAGAGAGAGAGAGAGAGAGAGAGAGGCUUACACGAAGAAGUGGAAGAGGAGGAGCUUCAAACCCUAAUAAUAAUCCAUGCGCGUGUUGAGAGGGAGAGAGAGAUCUAGAGAGAGAGAGAGAUCGAGAUGUAGAGGGCAAUGAGAACCCUAAUGAGGGCUCGGCGGUCGGCGAGGCGGAGCCAGAGGCAGACGGCGGUGAAGCUGAGGACGAGGCUGAGCAUGCCGCUGGCGAGGCCGAUGGCGACGAUGGCCCAGACGGAGAGGGCGCGGGCGGCGCGCGGGGCGGGCGGCAGCGGGAAGCCGUAGAGGCCCCGGUUGCCGGCGAAGGAGGAGGCGUUGAAGCGCGGGAGCGGGGAGCCGAGGGAGCGGUUGGCGAGGAGGACGGGGACGGGGCCGGAGAGGCGGUUGGAGGAGACGUCGAAGGCGGAGAGGCGGACGAGGAGGGCGAGCUGGUCCGGGAUGGGCCCCGAGAGGAGGUUGGAGUGGAGGUCGAUGACGUUGAGGUAGGCGCAGAGGGAGAGCUCCGGGGGGAUGGGCCCCGAGAGGAGGUUGGAGGAGAGGUUGAGCACGGCGAGGUUGAGGAGGAGGGAGAGCUCGCCGGGGAUGGGCCCCGAGAGGGAGUUGGACGAGAGGUCGAGGGUCUGCAGGUUGGAGCAGUUGGAGAGGAAGGGGGAGAGGGACCCCGACAGGGACAGGCCCGCCAGGGACAGCUUGUACACGCGCCCGUUGUUGCACGUCGCGCCCUGCAGGUACGACGUGAACCCGUUGCAGGGGGACGCGAACGUCGCCCGGCUCCAGUUCCGCAGCGAGCCCCCCGGGUCCGCCAGCGACGCGUGCACCUCGCUCAGGCACCGCUCGUCGUCCGGCUCAGCCGCCGCCACCGCCACCACCACCGCAAAGGCCAUGGCGACGACGACGACGACGACCAGGAGGACGACGAGCUUGGGAGCCAUUAUUAGACUAUGGAGGAGGAGGAGGAGGACGAGGACGAGGACGACGAUGGAGGAGGAGAGGAUGGGGAGGAGUGGAGUGGACUGGAGUGGGGACAAGAAAUGGAGAGGAGCAGCUUAAACAUUUGCUUUGCUUUGCUUUACUAUUAACUAGUUAAUAAUAGUAAUAGGGAUAUAUAAGGGGGGCGGGGGGGGCGCGGUGAGGUUACCGCUUCCGCGGAAUCGGAUGCUUUGGUGCGGAUUCGAAUCCGGAUGAAUGGGAAAGACCCUCUCUCUCUCUCUCUCUCUUUCUCUUAUUUAUUUAUUUAUUUUAUUUUAUUUUAUUUUUUUUGGAGAGAGGAAGAGGAAGAGGAAGAGGAAGAAGAGUGACUGCAGGUAAGUAAGUAUUAAUAGGAGAGUCAAAUUAAUUAGAACAGAAAAUGGAAUAGUAAAAAAAAAAGAAACAAAAACGACUAGCUCCAGCUUAAGUUUGGUGGAUACUUUAGAGUAGCUGACCAAGCGUAUGGGAAGUUGCGACGCUUAAAACUAUAAUAGUGAUAAUAAAUACGUGACUAAUAUUGUAUAGUAUAAUAUAAAAAGGGAAUUUCUUGGGUGGGGCCUGUACUGUAUUAGGCUGUGUAAGAAAAAAGAAUACGGGAGAGUAAGUAUUAUUAUUAUUAGUUCGGCUACUGUACUGUACUAUCGAUAGUAUCGAAUUUUUUAUACUAUCGUAAUUUUUAUUGUUAGACCUAUUCAUUAAUUAUUUUUAUCCGUUAAAUUAUAUUAUUCAACUAAUCAUCUACUCAAUCUUAGAAAACUCUUAUAAUUCUAACUAAGAACUACUAUUAUUUUAACCGUAUGUCUCUUUAUCUAACAGUUGAAAAUUCGACAACAGCAAAUGUUUAGUACUACCGAUAGUAUGGUAGCAUAAAUUCUACAUAUUAUUAUAGGCAAGCACAACUCAUACAAAGAGUUAAGAUAUCGAAAAAGAGAAAAAUUAAACCAUUGUAAGAAAAGAUAAUAUGAAAGAAAAGAAAACAAAAGAUGUAAAGAUUAAUGCUCAAACCAAAACAGAAAAUUCAAGAUGCAACAAAUGGACGGUUAUGAUCAUUUGAUCACCGAUUGCACAAGGUGUAAAUUUUCUACAGUUCCGUGCACAGAAAAAUUAAAAGUACCUACACUUUUCGUACACAGAAGCUGUUCCACCGCUCAUCCGUAAAUUUGAUAACAAUCAAUCAAAUGAUGAUUUUUAGCGCAAUUCAAACUGAGAGCCAAAAUUAACCCUCUCAUCGAAAUAUAUCCAUAACACAACAGUGCAUUUUUUUUUUGGGAAAACUUCAAAAAACCCCUUGUGGUUUCAAUUCUUUCACUUUAGUACCCUGUGGUUUAAAAUGUAUCAAGUUAGUACCCUGUGGGCUGUGGUUUCUCACUUUAUCACUCUAGUACCCUGUAGUUUAAAGUGUAUCAAGUUAGUAUCCUAUGGUUUUGCACUUUAUCACUUUAGUACCAUGUGAUUUUAAUUUUGUAUCAAGUUAGUACCAUGUGGUUUUUUAAAUCAUAGGGUACUAAAGUGAUAAAGUAUGAAACCACAGGGUACAAAAGUGAUAAAAUGCAAAAUCACAUGAUACAAACUUGAUAUACUUUAAACCACAUGGUACUAAAGUGAUAAAGUGAGAAACCACAGGAUACUAACUUGAUACACUUUAAACUACAGGGUACUAAAAUAAAAAAAUGUGAAACCACAGGAGGGGUUUUUGAAGUUUUUCUUUUUUUUUUAUUUUUUUUGUUGGGUGACUAUGUAGACUGGGUUUAUCGCAAAAUUUCUUUCAAACAAGUAGUGCCAAUGCCAUAAUAACCUCGUCAUUAUUCGAAGAAGACCUUGUAAUUUAUACAAAGCAACAAACAACCCCCCUUCCCCCGCUGCAACAAAGAAGGUACCCACCCAGUGCCCCCUUUUUGCCCUUUUCCAAAGAGGGAGUCCCCUCUUGUGUCGCUCUCACUCUUCUGCCACCACCUGUCCUACGACCACUUCUCCACACAGUGUCUCUAUAUUUUCUUUUUUUAUUAAUAAUCUUAAAAAAAUAUUUUAGUUAUAAAAAUAUUCAUCUAAAAAAUUUAUUUACAAAAUUAGAUUCAUACGAUAAAUAAAUUAUUACUUUUUAAAUAUGAUAAAUCAUUUUAACAUUUUUUUUCAAAAAUAUUAAAAUUAUUUUUAAUAUUUAAUAUUAUACAUCUUUUAAAAUUUAGAUGUAAAAAAUAUAUAAUAAGGUGAUAAAUCAUUCACCGCUUUUAGAUAGCGGUAAAUAAUUUAUCACUUUUAUGGACCUAUUUUUAUAAAUAAAAAUUUUAAAUAUACAUUUUUAUAUUUAAAAAAUUUGUAGACUUAAGUAGCCCAAAAACUCUCUCUCUCUCUCUCUCUCUCUCUCAAAAAUAGUGAAUACGGUCUAAUAUUUGACAAAAUUAUUUGCGGCUCUAUAUUUUUUUAUAUUUAAAUAUUACUCAGAUAGUAAUAUAUACAUGUAUUCAAAUAUGAAUAUGAAUUAGAAUUAACAUGAAUUAGACACAAUACAAUUAAAAUUUUACACUCCUAUUCAAACUUUAUAUACCUAUCUUAUUUAAUAAAUUAUAAAAUUUAAUAAAAUAUAAAUAUAAUUUUAACACAUAAAAUCCAUAAUAAAAUAACUUCUAUACGGGACUUUUCUAAAAUAAUUAUAAUCAAGGAGUUUAAUUUUUCUGACUAUCUAUUAUUUAAUAGAGUAACAUAUUUUAUUUAUGAUAUGAUUUAUUUUAGUCUGAAAAAAGACUUUAUGGCUCAGCAUAACAUUCCAUUCUAAGCAUUUUAAUCACAUAUCUUAUCUACCAAAUAUACACUUUUUCUAAGAUAAUUCAAAAAAAUACACCGAACAAAAUAUUUAUGCAUUCAAAUAAAGCUUAAAUUUAAAAAUAUGCUAAAUAAGAUAUUUAUGCAUUUAAAAAUAAAAAAGGAACCUUAAAGCUGACAGUUUUAAGGUUCUUUAUUUCUAACAAGAGAGAGAGAGAGAGAGAGAGAGAUUCGAAGAUGAACGUAUUUUGAGAUUUGGGAAGUCAAUGCUAAAUAACUUAAUUAUAAGUACACAAAGGUGUCUACAUUACAAAUGUCGAAAAUACGGAUAUGCAUUAAGCGAAAAUUAUUGACUUGAUUCAUGCAUACAGUAUAAAAUGCUAUAUCGAUUAAUCGAUAAAUAUUACUACUGAUCUUACAGUACGGUAUUUUCAUACAUUAUUAGUAUAUCGGCACCUAUAAUGGGAACAACACUCUAACAAAUAUUGCCAACACAUCAACAGAUUUAUACGAGCAACAUUUCUAAAUUUUCAAAUCAUUCCUCCUUAGUUACUACAUUGGUAAUUUACAAGAGAGAAUUUGUUAUUAGAGAUUCGAAGCAUUUUCCCUUGUGAAUGGCAUUGAAAAAUAAUUCUUAUAGAUAAACUUCAAGUUAAGUCCGCCUAAUAUGCUCUUUUUUGUACUUAUAAGUUUUUAGUUGUUAGAUCUAUUCUUUGACUAUUUCCAUCGAUUGGAUCAUACUAUUCAACCAACGACCUGCUUAACCCUAGAGACCAUUAUCAUUAUAAUCGGAACCCACUACCAUCUUAACCGCACAUCCCUUCAUCCAACAUUCCAAAACUUAAGAGUACAAAGAGAUCUACUCAUAAGAGUAUAGUAGUCUUAACCCUUCAAGUUAUCCUAUUUUGGUUUAACACAUUUUCACUUUGCCACUCCGAUCCAAAAAGUAGUACUUAACUAUGAAAUUUACCGUGCUUUCAUAUGGUCAUCCUGUGGUCCAAAAAGUCACAGUAAUUUUAAUUUUUUUGUUUCACUAUAAGAACCUAUCAUUAAAUAUGGUACUGCUCCACAAGGGUAAAUUAGCAUUCACCUUUUUUUUUUUUGUAUCUGGUGAUUAAUUUCCACCGUUAAAAAAAACCUAACUAAAGGUAAAAAAACAAGAAAAACCAGUAUCUUUUGUCUCCACGCCCUCUUGGAAAAUGGAGAAAUUGUUCCCCCACAGCAAAUCCUUGGAUGAUGAGACACAAGAUCUCCGCUGCCCCACAAAGCACUUCUGGUGGAAUGGCUUAUACUUUUUUAGCUGGUUACCGUUAUUGCCCGUUUAACAUACAUAGACAUGAGAGGCCCACACAAAUAAUGCUAGAUGCUAUGCUAUAGUUGUUCUUCCUGUGAACUGUCACCAAACCUUAGCCCAGUUGUCCAUACUAGUCUACUCUAAUUUGGAUAAACUGGACCACACUAAUCCCUUAAUCUUUGCCAAUUAAAUAUUCGGCACCUCGAAAUUUUUUGUUAGUAUUUUAUUUUAUUCAUUAUCCUUAUUUACCGACGAGGAAAAAGAAGAAUUACCAACUGCAUUAGGUGCAUCUUAUGUGGUCUCUAAAUCAUACAUACUAAAAAGGUCAGCUCGCAGGUGAAAUACAUUAUUGUGAAAAUUCAUUACUAUUGAAACCUUGCAUGGCCUAAAAGCAAAAUCUAAUCAUAAGGUCAAAGAAUAUAUCUGUAAAAACUUAUUCGAACAUCUAAAGCAGGCGGUUACUUAUUUACAUGUAUAUCUCUAUAAGAUCAUAGUUUAGUCCGUACUCUUUAGAAACAUGUUUGUCACAUACGCCUGCACCGGCAAAUUCUAAACAUCCUUUGGUUCUACACAUGGAGUGUCCCCUAGCUGUUCCCGUUUAGUUAAGCACAUUCCUAAACACAGGGUACAUCUAUUAAAUACGAGAAUAACACAUUUCUCAUUCUAAAUUUUUCUACAAAACAAUGAACUCAACUAUACUUUGCUUAAUGGCACAACAAGCACGUUAAGGAAAGAGGAUAAUGUUAAUGACCUCAUAUGAUUUAAUGCUAUUCGACUUUACCACCUAUGUUUCAGCCCCCAAAACUGAUGUUGCUGUUUAAGGCAACUUGCUUCGAGUUACAACUGAAAUGCUGGUGAAGUCGAGAACGUGGCAAUGACAUGACUCAUCAAAUCACUACAAAUAAAGAUCUUAUUGUUUGAUCUCAUUCAUCUGUCUUAUUUAUAUUGGUUUAAUAAGGUAUAUGAAUAUGAAUUGCUUAAGUGAAUUUGAAGAGAAAUCAGACCACUACACAAAGGCUGUCUAAUUUUAGUUGUCGAGAAUAUAAAGCUUCUCUUGUAAGGACAUGAAAGGAUAUCAAAUACCAGUAAAGAAGAUACGCUCGACUAAAGUGAUGAGAUUUACCAUCUGUAAUAAUUAAGCUCCAAAUGAUUUGGUAGAACAUGGACGGGAAUGAUCAACCUACAGGUCGGACACCAUUCCACCUGGGGUCGUCAUUGUCGAUCCUGUGCAUAUAAUUGUAUUGAUUAUUCCUUAUAUAAGACACACCUGACCAUGCUCCACGAACAAGUAGAAUGCUUAAGAACACCAUGCUUCCAAACGUGCAGACCACCUACAAUUGUUUGCGACAAAAUUAGGAUUGUAAAGGGUUUUGAUAAAAGAAAAGAAGAAACAAAAACGAGGAAUGAAGAAUAUGAACUUUCAUUUUUAGUAAUAUCCAUAAAUAUGAACUUAGAAAAAGUAAGUAACACAAACUUAUAAAUGAUAAUUAAUUAUCCUCUUUAUCAUAAACCGCAAAGUAUAGUAUUGUUCAGCAUGCUAAUUCAGAAGAGAUAUGUGAGGUGGAAUAUACCAGCUUAUUUAUGUAGAGAUAGAUAGAGCUACUAAUAAAGGAUCAAUCAUCAGCUCUUACUUGGGAAACAUUUUCAAUGGCUACUCUUUGGCUGUAUAAGCCUAUGAGGACAGCGAGAUAGUACUGGAUAAAAAAUCAGGUAAAAAAAAGGAGUAAUUUAAUCAAGCAGAAAUAAUUAAAAUAUGCUUCUGUUGGAUUUCAUACGAGUCAUUACCAAAAAUCAGAUUGUAAUUUACUAGUUUUCUCUCCCAUGCUUUACCUAUAAAAUAGCCUUAACCCAUUUAUAGACACAGAAAGUUGAUGUACGAUCAAUCCUCAGAGCAACACGGUUUCAUCCAUUUCCAACAACAGGCCAAGCUAUGGAGAAUCUAAAAGAUUUGGAGUCCACUAACUUAUCUCCUGAAUCAUUGGCGAGGAGUAUCAAAUUAGACGGAUGAGAGUAAGGAAUCAGCCAAUAGGCUUAAAGAGGCGAUUGAUGGGCACAUCUAAGAACAAUUCUCAGAAAGAAAAAAAUUAAACACCCGUAGGUGUAGUUAAAAAGAAAAAAAGUCACCCAAACUGGCUAAGCAAUAAAGAUAUUAGGGCUGAUUCACUCCACACUACAAAAGUAUAGUCGCCAACAUGCAGUCAUUGACUAGUUGGAGCGCAACCAACCCUACGAGGACUUAGAAUAUCCUAAUAUUUUUCAAUAAUAAUAUUUGUCUUGUUAAUCUAAGAUUUUCACAAUCCGUAAGACCAAUAAGGGGAAAAAACUUCCUGUCUUUUCUACAUUUACCUGGUUCACAAGAGAAAUUUAAGUCGGAAACUAAAUCAAGGACAUGCAGGUCGCAAAGCUCUACCCCCGUUAAACAUGAAUAAGAAACUCUAAACAGAAGAAUCAGUUCAACCAGGAACUAAGGAUCAAAGUUAAUGAUGAAACAGUAGGCUGCAAUAGAAACAGACAAAUUGUUCUUUUACUUUUAACCCUACAAACUGCACCCAAACACUCUUGCAAUAUACUUCAUGUAGAAAUGAGAAGAUGGAACCCUUAAUCCAGAACCUUCUAAGCAUGAAGUUGCUUUAAUUCAUAGGCUAUACGUCGAGAGAAGGUAAUUUGCAUUGAUGGAGUCCUUAGAUUAUUCUCUAGCUUACUCCUAUACCACUAUUGUGCUCGCAAAGAGAACGCAAUAUCCUGUAUCAGUUGAGUUGCAUAAGACUCUAAACUUGAAUAACCCAAUGCUCAACACAAUUCUGGGCAAGCUUUGGCGAAAUGGGACUAUUAACUACACAAAAAUAUAAGAAAAUUGAUUUAUUUAGAACAUGAUACUUCCAUUUACCUCAAGAAAGGCUUUUAGAAUCCACAGGAAAGCUAGUAUUAGAACUCCAUUCACCGAAAAGCGCACCUGAAAUCGUUAAGAAUCGUCAAUUUGAAGUAACAAAGAACCCUAAAUUCCCCAACAAGCGUACGAGAUUGAUCUAUACCAGCUUGGUGGAGAUGGAAGGGGGAAGGACCGAUCGAACGGCCCUCCUCGCUCGGCGAGAGACCCUUCGGAAAACGUUGUGCAGGAACCUCGCGAGGAGAUCCAAGCUCCGAUCAUCAUCCUCCUCGUCCUCAUCCUCAUCAUCAUCAUCGUCAUCAUCGCCCUCCCUAUCAUCGUACCUCUCUCCUCCCGCGAAAUCGCCGACCCACGCACGCGCGUCAGGCGCGAUCACCACCGCGUCCUACUCAAAUCCCCCCAUCAUCGUCGAAUCCAAACACGUCGUACAUGGAGAUGGAGGCGGAGGCGGCGUACCUACCUGGGAGGAUCGGGAGGAGAAGCUUCUGGAGGCUUUGAGCGGAGAGGAGAGUCGAAGCGGGGAGAGGAGAGGGGCCAAAGGGAGGAGAUGGAGAUCGUGGUAGGGUUUGGGGCGGGGGAGGUGGGAAGGGAAUGGGGGAAAGGAGAAGGACACGGAGGAGGAAGAAGACGACGCCAUGGGAGAGGAGCAGCUCGAGCUCGAGCUCGAGCCUCGUUAUAAGCAACGGUGAACGCUUCCCCUUUUGGGUUGGGUUAAAAGCGGGUCGGGUUCGAACCGGAUCUUUUCUUUGUAAAUUGGGUUGGCCCGGCCCAUUGCCCACAGCCCAGCUAGGAAUAUGAUUAGAAUCGGGUCAUGUUCUUUUAUGGGCCCCCUCAUGGUUUAUUAGUGUAGUAAUCCGUGCGAUACGACAGGUAGAUAAUUAAAAAAAAGAUAUAAAAUAUCGAUAAAGGAGGAGGAAACAAUGAUGAAAGUACAGACGAUAAAAGGUGGGAUUCAUCUUGUCGAUAAAGAAAGGUGACAGUCGACGAAAGCAGAAAAGGAAUAGGUUGAGCCAAUGCAGAGAUGUGAUCCGAUUCGAUUCAAGCAAAAAAAGGAAAACCCAAUUUAGUUCAAGCAAAGAAAGAAAAAAAAAAAAAAAAUAUGGAGGAUGGGCCGAUUCGGAGGAGCCUACACUCAACGAUGAUUAGUUUGGUUUAAGCAAAGAAAGAAAAAUCCGAUUCGAUUCAAGAGAAGAGAAAAAUAUUUGAAAAACUUGAGUCGGUUCAGAGUGGACCCCAUACCCAACAAUGAAGGGAACUUUACUAUGUAGAAAAUUUAGGAAAAAUAAUGUAUAUGUAUUGAUAUAGAUAUAGAUAGAUCUAGGUAUAGAUAUAGGUAUAGAUUUGUUUGUUUAUCCGUAAAUAAUUUUCGUGUUGAAAAUAACUUUCAAUUGAAUUAGAAAUUAGGUAAAAAUUACUUUUUUAUCGCUGUUUAUUUGGUGGUAAGUUAAUGACUUUGGAACUGUAGUUAUCCAACCUUGUCUAUUUGAAAAUUUUUAUCAGAGUAAAAAAUAGUUAUAGUUAAUUUUUUAUUAUUUUUUUUUCUAUCUCUUUCUUUUUCGUAAUUAGUUUGAAGAAGUGGAGUUGCGCGCGAAUUUAAUUCAUAGCAAACCAAACAAUGAAAACUCACAUUUACAGCUGAAAAUAAUUUCACCCUCUGCAUUUUUGUAAAACAAACAUGCCUUAGAAGUACAUUUUCACUUCGCCUCACUGUAGUUCAAAAAGUAGCACUUAACAGCCUUCUAAUUUUAUUGUUUUUUUAGCAUCAAAACUAUAACAAAGUGAUACUUUUCGCAAAUUAUAAGCUGAGACAAAUAUACAGUACAAUAUUUUAUCAUACUAUAAUCUGCAUACAAUGUGCACUUUAUCAUCUCGUGAUUUGCAAAAAUAAUAUCACUUUGUUGCAUUAGCAAACGUACUUAAAAUAUUGUAUCAUUUUAUAUGUAGUGAGAUUACCCGAAAGAUUAUCAGGAAAGUAAUUUUAUCUUUGUUUAAUAUUACUCUCUCCAACUGUCGCAGUUGGAACUGCGGCCAAUUUGGUUGUAAUUCCAACUGCUGAAUUUAACCCUCCUCGUGUAGUUCCAGCUACAACAGUUCGAUUCAAAUACAUGAAAUCAAACGGCGAAUUUGGAUGUGGAUGCAGUUACACUUGCAAUGCAAUUACAAUUACGUACAACCAGAGAGUCCCAAGAAGUUUUUUUAUCCUCUCAAAUCCUUAUACUGAGCAUCACCAAUAAGUUAUCAUGUAAUUCAUUGAGAAAGUAUUACAACCUUUUGCUAAACAUAACUGAUAACUCCCUAGAGACCAAUAAUUUUUUCCCAAGUUCUCCAAAUACAAGAAAUAAUACAACACCAAUCAAAGAUUCAAACAUCAACUCCAAUCCAAUCUAACCCACCCAGUGAUCCUCAGUGUACUGCAUCUUUUAUAUGAGAUAUGAAAAAGAGAACAAAAAGAGAGAUCAAUGGUUAGGGCUAUGAAACUGUACAACACUUGUCGGAGAAUCCGCCGAGAUAUACAGCAUAUCAAUUAGAGGGAAAUUGCAAGUGCUUUUGCUAUUCCACCACCUUCAUGGAACCUGAUACAUCUAAACAAAACUCAAAUUACUUAAACUAGGACGUAAAAAGUUUGCGAGAAUGGGAUUCGAAGCCAAAGUUCAGAUUUGUACUGCUGUUCUCUGUUCCGCCGGUCACCGCGCUCGGUAUGAAACCCAUAUGUAUGAUGUUUUGAAGUUCGUCGUCCCACAGUCCGGGUAUCUGAGACGAAUGAAGUUCGAAAAAGAUUAUCACAUCAUUCUUUCGCCUUCUUUUCCGCUUUUCGCGGAGCAUUGUAAGGCAAAUAAAAGGAAAUGCAGCAACAAGAUGCUGUAUAUUACUUGAGAGAUGGUGGGGAACUGGGGAAUGGAUGUCGCAGGAGUGUUCCCCGGAUUUUGGAUACCGAACAACAUUUCCGGAAGCACGAUUCCAUUUGGCGACGACCCGUGAAAACUACUCUGAACAUUGCUUAAUCCCAAACCAGAUCCAAGAAGAGCCGGGCGCAUAUCUCGUGAUUGAAGAAUCUAUUCAAAAGUUUUUUUUUAAAAAAAGAAAACUCUUUCAAUUGUUAAACUACAAUUAGAACAUGCGAGGAAUUAUACUAUUAAGGAGAAUUAGUUUCCAAUUUCUGAACAUUUCUAUCUCUUACAUCUUUAGUCAGAAUCUGCUCGAGAUUAAAACUCAUCUCUGGAUUCACAGCCGCGAGCUUCAUCGAUAGGAACUGCAGAUUACAAAAGACCUGAAUUAUUGGCCUAACCAUUCAAUUAGUCUCAAAUUACUUUUUUAAACAACUAAGAUUCGAAAAUCGGGGAAUGUACCUCGACUUGUCGUUGCAACGACUGCACAUAAUUGAUAAUCUCAUCAAGCAUCAUCGCUUUGCCAGUAAUCUAUCAAAUAAAUACCAUGUAGAACAUACAUUAAACAGUAGCCCCUUUCAAACAUGUCACAAAAUAGUAGGGGAUAGAUACAAAAUUAUAUGUUAGGGUUACCUUACUGCAACCUGGAACAAGAUCUUGAAGCAGCCUCAUUCUUUCGCUAAUCUUUUCCCUUCUCACCUGCGAUAAAAAAAGAAAUUACGCUAAGAAGGACAAAAGGAGAAAAUAAGAACAAAUCAUGGUUUUCGUAGAAUAAAGGCGCACUCUUUCCGCGAGGCUGUGGCUAUUGGUCGCUUGGCCGCGCUUUGCCCUAACAUGAAUGUAAUCAUCUUUAGAAGCAUCGCCGUCGAAAGUACUCUCUUUAGCUUGAUUUCCACUGUGUAAUUUUAUCUCAUCUUUUUCGACAGCGUUGCUCAGAGACUCCAUCUUAACCUCCAUUUGCUGAGCCAUCAUCAAAUUCAAUUACAAGAAAAAAAGAAGAAGAAGAAAACAGGUAAACAAUAAGAUAUUUCGAGCCAUAUUACUUGAAUCCUAUCCUGCGGCGUUUCGGAAUAUAUAGAAACACCAUCGACGGCGCCUUUUCGUUUCUUUCCUUUGAAAUUUUUAUCAUUACUGCGCUUGCUACCCGUAGAAAAAUCUAGAGAGGAGAGAAAAUUUUGCAGUUCGUCAGUAUUGUUUUCAGAAAAGAGAAUUUACAGUUUAAACAAACUUUUACCGGCCGAGGGAUUGUAAAAUUGGAGUCUUUGUUGCGUCGCAGAAUUAUUAUACUUUGAAAAACCACUUGGCCCAUUAAAGUCCAUAGCUUGCCCGAAGUAUUGGUCGCCGAAUCGUGCCGAAGAACACGGAGUGUUUACAGAAGAAGCCCCGACAAUCUGAUCAGAUUGCAUUGCUGAACACCUCUGAAAACACAAAGAUUACAAAUUUUCACCCAAAAACCCAGAAAAUCAGUAAGUUAAAAAAGAAAAGGGAAAGAAAUUAUGAUCUCAAUUACCCAAGCAAAAUCCUAUCUACAGCUACUGAAGUAUGCUAUGCUUGAGAUGAAGUUAUGAAGCAACUUAUAUGAAGCUUCUGAGACAACAUCUUUACCUAAAGAGAUAGAGAUAAGAGAUAGAGAGAGAGAGAGAGAGAUUGACUGGUAAAUUUCUUGCAGGGCUCAACAAGGAACAACUAAAACUGGCAGCUUUACACAAAGAGGUAAAAAAGCAAAAGUAAUUCCUUGUCAAGAGAGAGAGAGAGGAGAGGAGAGAGAGAGAGGAUCCCAAAGAAAACAUUAAGGAAAAAAAAAAAAAAAAAGAAAAAAAAAGAGGAGCCAAGUAGAAGGCAUAUAAUCUUACAAUGCACCAGCUGGAUAACUUUAUCAGAACAUUAGGAUCAAAUGUAUUCUAUUCUCACUGCAAAGAGCCCCCCAGGGACAAAAAAAGUGGAACUUUCACACACAGCAUAAAAGGGGAGGAGCAAGCAAUGAGCCACAUCAUUGAGUAUAUAGCUCUCUCACACACCACAAACUCCUUUUGGGGACUUCAAAUGCAGCUUCUAUCAUACAAACCAGCUCAAAAGCAAGAUUAAAACUUUUCCCAUAAGCUCAAACAUUAAACCAAAAACAAAACAACUUACUCAAACUGGGGUUUAAGAUGGGACAAGAGCAAAAUUUUUAACCUUCCAGGUAGUAGGAAAAAGAAAAAGAAAGAAAAGGAAGAAGAGGGGAUGGUUUGGGGAAGCACUUUGACUAAGUAGCUAUAAAGGGAUGUGAAGAAACUCUUCAAAGCAACAAACACUGAUGUGUAAGGUGUUGUGGAAAUGGAUAAUGUUUGAAUGGGGGUGAUGCUCUUAGGAGGGAAAGUUCCAAAGCUUCUCAGACCAGGAACCAGGGAAAAUGAAAAUUGCUGUAAACAGAAGCACUCUGAAAAAUUACCUCAGUGGGUUAUAUAUCACUAGAGACCUUGAAAGUGCCCCCCCCAAAAAAUUGAGAAUUGUUACAAACAACCAACACAACAAUUAAUCUUUUACAAGAGAACCAAAAGGAAGUAAAUAGGAAGGGAAAUUGAAAUUUUUACCUGCUAGAGGAGUGAAACACUUACUUUUAUGUUUUUUUUUUCCUUUACUUUUCUGAGGGAGUUGUUGCUGCUGUUAACCACUACCAACUGCUCUUGGUAAAAAUAUUGUUUUCCAAAAGCCUUAUAUAGUAAUAUUUGGUAUGAUAUAAUAAUAUGAUUCUGAGGCAUGCAAUGGUCAUAUAGUUUGUGGGUAAUACAUUAUUAUGCAUACCUGUUGUUAUCAAACAAGAAGAAAAGAAAAGUGAAAAGCCAUAUUAUAUGGUUUUGUACCAAGUUAUUAUUGCUUUUGAGAGGGGAAGGUGCUUCUCUUCCACACCAAGCUUUGAGGUAGGGGAUCUUUUACUGACACACUGCCAACUAUUUCUAUACCCAUUCCUCUCUCUCUCUCUCUCUCUCUCUCUCUCUCUCUCUUCAUAUUUUCUUUACCUAAAACAUAAGGAAUCUUAACAUCUUUUUUUUACCUUCUUGUCCUGUAGAGCUCUACAACUGGGGGAGUAGAUGGACAUAAAUGAGGAAUAUAGUCAAAGAGAAGACCAUGGGGGCAUUGUACAGCAAGAUUAUUGCAGUGAAUGAACUUGUGGAAUUGGAUUCUCAAGUCCCAGCUUAUGUGGAUGUGUAAGGAACAUGUAAUAAAUGUAUUGUGAUGGUACAAUAGUUACUGUAACCAUUCAUUAAUAGCUUCUGGCUUCAGCAAUAAUUAUUAUGUGAAAUUUUGGCAACCACUCCAGAUGUUUAUUUGACAAUCUGAAAGUAAUCUUUUCAUUAUUUAUUUAUUUGGGGGCAAUUGCUUAUAUAUUUUUUGAAAAGUUUUCGACUUUUUGAUUUAUUCAUCUUAGAAGGCUAAUAUUGAAAAUAUCUAUUCUACGUUCCAACCUAUUUCUAAUAUACCCGUAGAGUUAAAAUCUGUUAAUGAACUCUGUUAUCUCUGUAAAAUUACUAUUUUGUCCUUUUAAAUAUACCCUUCCACCAUCAUUGACUUUCUUAUUUGCUCUUAAAGUCAGGGGCAUAAAAAAUAUUUUGACUUUUGAUCUUUUCUAAUAUACCUCUCUACCGUCACCACAUUUUUUAUUUGCCCUUAAGUUAAGGGCAAAAUUGACAUUUUAAUUUUUUUUAAUUGUGGUAGAUAUUUAACUCAUGUUUAACCCAAGUUAACUUAACAGGAGAUAACUGCGGAAGUAUUUUGCAAUAACGGUGGAACAUAUGAGGGUAUUUUAGAAAGAAAGAAAAAAAGUAGGGAUAAAUCGAAUAUUUUCAAACAGUGAGGGGUAUAUAGGCAAUUAUUCCUAUUUAUUUAAUUUUAGAAGUGUUAUAUAUAAUUACAUAAAACUUCUGUUUGAAAAAAUAAAAGAUAGUAAUAAUACCAAACGAGGUCUAAAUCUCUUUAAUCUGAUUUGUGAGUAGUCGAUAGCUUAUGCGGAGGUAUGAUUUGAGUAUUCUUGUAAUCUUUUUUUUUUUUUUUUUUUUUUUUUUUUUUUUUUUCCAGUGAGAAGAUAGCAUCUUCAUAAUGUAUUAUUGUGAAAAUAAAAUGCAAGACUUAAGACUUAUUAUGUAUUUCCACGACAAGGAGUUUAGUAUGAAAAAGUGAAAAUGAGCUCUUGGCCCUUAAAGAGUUUUUUUUUUUUUGAGGAAUAGGUAGCACGCUACCUGCUUCAUUCAUUGAAAAAGUGAACUAAGCUACAGAGGUGAGGUAACACGGGCCUCGAAAGAGUUAAAAAAAAAAAAGAAAAGAAAAGAAUCCUAGCGAUUACAGUGGUGCAAAUUUAAUGACAGAUAGUACUUCCAUUGGUCCGUCAACAGUUUAAUCUUAUGUAUACCCAGCAAUGGGUCUGGAUUGACCGAUCUGAAGAUCGUACCGUUCCUAGCUUCCCAGAUGAUCCAUCAACAAGCUAUUAAACCGGUUGGUCCCGAAAGUAGGGAUGGUGAGUCCCUUCUACUUAUCCAUCUAUCCCAAACGAUAGUCACGUCAUCACCCAAGUCCCUUGUCUGUACAUUCUCCAAUGCCAUGACCAUAAGAAAUCUGGAAAACACGCACCGAGCGAAUAGGUGGUCCACUGUUUCCUCGUCCAUCCCACACAACGCACAGGACGUGUUACCAAUCCAUCCUCUCUUAAGUAGGUUGUCUGCAGUAAGGUGCCUCUUCUUGAGGACGAGCCAACAAAACACUUUUACUUUUAAUGGUAUACGAAUCCUCCAAAUCUUACUAGCACAGGCGUCCCUCGUACCCCCAUCGCACAGCCCGGAAUAGGUUGACUUUACUGUAAAGCGUCCGUCCGAAUUCCAUCUCCAAUGCACACUGUCUGGUCCUUGUUCAAUUCUAAAAUUGGAGAUCUCUGUCUGCAGUGAUGUAAUGCAAGAAUUUAAUCGAUUAUCGUUAGUUGUAUCGCAACCCAGGAUCUUGCGCCAAUUCCAUCCGUCACUUCUAAAGCACUCACUGAUAUUUAGUUUUUUGCGAUUCGAUAGGUGGUACACCUCCGGGAAUGACGAUUGUAACGUGGUGUCCCCACACCAGCGAUCUGCCCAGAAGUCGAUACUGCAACCAUUGCCUAAUUUAUAAGCAACGCCCCAUUUGAAGAUUUCUUUUUGACUCAGAAUUUCUCUCCACCAGAAAGAGGGAGGUUUAAAAGACCGGCCCUCCAUUAAUGGUCUUGUUCUAAGAUAGUAUAAGUUAUGUAUUAACUUGUUCCACUCCAACUGGGGCGAGGUAUGAAAUUUCCACCACCAUUUGACAAGAAGAGCUUGGUUCAUCAUGGCUAUAUCCAGAAUGCCUAAUCCUCCCUCUUUCUUGCUCCUGCAAACGUUUUUCCACGAAACUAGACAUCCCUUGCCAGGUGAGUUGUGCCCUCCGUUCCAAAAGAAGUCCCUUCGUAAUGCCUCAAUACUGUUGAUUGCCCAUCUUGGUGCCUUGAACACUGAUAGAUAGUAAAUGGGUAGGUUAGUAAGAACAGCAUUCACUAGUAUGAGUCUUCCCCCUCUUGACAAGAGUUUCGCUUGCCACCUUUCGAUUUUGCUUUGUAUUUUAUGGAUGACUCCUCUCCAAUCCUCCUUAGUAGGAGGCCUGAUAGAUAGAGGUAAGCCUAAGUAUCUAGUAGGUAGGCUGCCAACUCUACAAUCGAGAAGGCAUGCCAACCUUGUCACUUUCCCCUCAACCUGUCCAAUGUAAUAAAGCUCCGACUUCACUCUGCUAAUUCUCAUCCCCGAUGCCCAUUCAAAAAGCUGCCAUAAAAACUUCAAGAGUUAAAGAGUUAAAGUUGCUUCUAUUGUGGUGCGAAGCUGUAAGAAGGAUUUUAGCUCCAUUCAAAAGUUAGCUAUUCUGCGGAAACUCCAGCUUGGUCAAAUAGAUCUAAUUUUCAUAGUUCGAAAUUGUAGAGAACCUCAAGAAUCCAUAGAUGAAGAGAGGUUCUAUCUUGUAAGGAAGGGGAAUCAUAGUUACCAAAAUGAGGCCUCUAUUAUAAUCACCUAUUUUGUAUGUUUAGUCGAGUCGUUAGGAUAUAACAAACAUUUCUAUUGAUAGUAAAACCUUUGGGGCUUCUCGAAAAGCUCCACUUAUACACAAACCUACAAAAGCCCUACUCAAACAUUAGUCUCAAAUGUAAUACUAGUUUACGAACGAUCUCAGCUAACCAAUAGAUAGAGAAAACAUCACACAUCACACACUUCGUGAUCAAACAAGCGCGACCGUUAUGAGAACACGCAAAAACUUAAAUAAAUAUGUAUUAGAUAUAGAUAUAUAGAUAUAGAAAUUUCACUCUUUACUUUCCACUUUAUAAAUUAUAAAUUACCUUUUCUUCCAUGCCUUCCUAUAUACAAUCUAUUAAUCUUUUACCUCCACUCACCCACAAGCCAAGAAAGUUGCCACCUUUUCUUGGACUUCACCAAUUCUCCGUACACUUCUUAUUGAGUGCUUACUCCUACAAUCAUCAAACAACAUCUCUUGGGUUAGUUAAGAAAAAAAAGAAAAGAUAAGAACAUCAAAGCAAGGGGGAAAAAAAAAUAAAAAGAAGGUACAGUUUUCGCUUAAUUGUGUUGAUCAAGGGCAUGGUUUAAGGAAACAGUCGUAAGCACGCGUAAGUUACAAGAUAGACAUUUUUCUUUUUUUUUUUUUUCACGGCAAUCGAUGUAGCUUAUAUAAGGGGGGAAAAUGGUUAUCAGGAAUCAUUAGGGCACAAGCGAAAAUCCCAUCAUGAUAUCACUACGGUACGUUUAUUAGGCCCUGUUGAAGCUUCUACAGAAAUGUUGUUCAGUAGAACUACUUUAAGAUAUCAAUACGGACAUCUAAGUGAGAAGAUCUAGCUUAAGGACUCAAUUGUAUAUGGUGGACCGGCGCUAUUUAUCAGAAACAAGCCUAUCAAAUGUGAAUACUAUUUCCUGAUAAGUCUCUCCAUUCAUGGUCAGGGCGAAAAUCAAACACUAAGGGUGAAAUUGAAAUAGGGAUCAUCAGAAUUGUUAUGCGGAGUACAAAUUUGAAACAUUGAUCACACUUCAGGAACUAAAUUAUAAACGACCCAGAAAUUAAAGUAAAACUACACAUAUUGAUAAAACAACAGCAUCAACCCUGUAAUUCAACUGCAGAAGAAGACCUUUUUAACCUCCAUCAGAACUGAAAUAGGCAACUUCAGGCCUCUAGACAUAGAAGUAGAUGGCACCCUUGAUUCAGUGUAACACUAUAAAGUAAGAUUGAAUGUGUACAAUAAAGUAAAGCAAUGCAAAUACAUCUUAUGUUGCUUAUAUCUCCUGCAUGUCGAGCCGUUAAUCAACUCGAAGAGUAGGAGAUUAUUACACAGUUAUGUGCAAACAUGAUAGGAGUUAACUCUUCUCUACAGCAGCAUAUAAUGAAGUGUAACCCUAACUAUAUGUUUAGUGAUGGUUAAGAACCCUAUAAGAGAUGACAACACAGCACAAUUUAGGGCCUCAUUUGCCUACAUCAUUUCAUAAAAUGUCUUCUCCUUAUUGGGUCCCAAAUGUUCAUUAAUGGAUAAAUUGAUUGAUGCAUGCACUACAAUAUAUAGAUCCACAACACAAGAUUCUGAAGUGUAUGAUCUGAAUUGGUUUUCAUCCAUAACCAUAAAUAUUAAUUGUGAAUUACCCACAUAAUUGCUAGUUCUCAGUAUUGUCGCGAGAGCAUCAGUCAAAAAGAUAGUGCCUCAAGCUGAUUUUUUUCCCCUUUCCUUUCCAUCAACAUUUAAGGGAUCAAAAGAAAACAGGCAAAAAGCUAAGGCCUCACUUGGAUAAACCUAUUUCUCAAACAUGAACUCUUCGCGAUGAUUAUGCUUGCGGGAUCAACUUCUCUACUACUGCAAUUGUUGAUUAACCUGCAAAAUCAUCUUCGUUCGAAACAAAGCAGCAAAAAAGAAAGAGAGUUGUUUUUGACUGUUGCUUCAAAUAGAAAAACAGUAAGCUGUGAACAAACCAUCGUCUGUUGACAGCGCAGAUUCAAUCACAUACAUUUCGAGUUAACAAAAAAGAGACAAAGAAACAUAAGCACAGCAAUACCAGACCUAAACAUCAGUCUAUCAUCACCUGUAAAACUAAGAUAAAUCUGCACCGAUCUCUUCAGAACAUCUCAACAAACACUAAACAAAGAAUCCAACCACCGAAUGAUAUCAACAAAAAUCUUUAUUAGACAUAAACCACUGCUUUACAUCAUGGAAAUACUCAUCUAUAUAAGUUGGCUUACAUACUCAAGAUAAAACUGUCUCAGUGCAGAAGACAGUAAGAGGAAAAGGAGGAUUUGCAACAAAAACUGCAUGAACAUAAACACAUGCAGAUUAUACAUAAACAAGAUAGCUAAGAGCAACUCCGCUUAGAAAGCAAACAAAUGAAAUAGCCAUAAGCCAUUUCAUCCACCAAAUCCGCCACGACUGUAGCCACCAAGAUUACAGUGGGGAGAGAAUUGCUGACGAGCAGGGUUCCGAGAGUUUCGUAAGCCAGCACCCUGUGGACUGAGAUUACCAAUAGCUGGGUAUAAAUCAUAAUCUCCACCUAUGAUAGGAUACCUAUGGGGCCUAACUGGGAAAAUGGGCCUAGCUGGAUUAAACCUUCGAUCAGUUAACACCCCAAAUCUUAUAACUCUUCUAUUUGACACCUUAGAAGCAUUCUUUUUCUCGAUCCAAGCUGCGGCGAAUCUCUCUCUCCACCUCAUACCUUGCACUCCCGCCCCACUGGAAGACCCAAACUCCUUCUCAAACUUCUUCUUCCACAACUUAUCAUCGGAACAGAUAGCGCUCAUCUCAGAGCAAGUGCAAGCAAUUCUCGCUAAAUCAACGCCAGAAACAAGCUCCAAAAUAUCGGUCUUGAGAUCGCGGGAAAGACGCAUGUAGCACGGAGGCAAAGGCAGCCUAUUCUUCGCGCAAAUAUCUAUUAGUAAAGGCAAGCAAACCCCAUCUUUGACCAUGUUCCAGAGCUUCAAGAUCUCUUUCUCAUCCCUCUCACUCAUCGAAUCCAUGGCCAAACUCAGGAAAGGUGCGAUCUUCGACGCAUCUAUACAAACCCGGUAAACAUCCGGAUGCUCUACACUAAGAUACCCAUAAAUUGUAACGAAAUUCCCCAUUACAGAGCACCUCACAAUGGAAAAUUUGAUAUCUCUCUCUUCCAUUCGGUCCACAAGAUCACGAAGAGCGUAUUGAACGGAUAAAUUAGAAGCGUCUGAAGCCCAAUUUCGGGGCAAUCGAGAGCCAUCGCCUCCUCGCCCAACGAGGAAGCCAGAGUCGAGAAAAGCCGCAUGGAUAGUAGUAAGAAGGCGCCCGAGGAUCCCUUCGUUCUCCCCCUUCUCUAAAUCCAUCACCCUCUUAAGAAUACGCGGCACCAAAGACGGCUUUUUUACUACGACCGAGGGCUCCGGAUCCACCCCCAUCCGACCCUCCGGUUUCGAAUCUAGGGUUCCAGCGGUUCCAUCCGCAUCCACCUCCAUCCGAUCCUCCGGCUUCGAACCUAGGGUUUGGACGCGUCCAAAGGAAUCGGAACCGGGGGGGUUUGCGGGGACUAGGGUUUGUGAGAGUGGGGAGAGGGAGUAGAAGAGGAGGUCGCCGGAGGUGAGGCCGAGGGAGGGGAGGGGGUCGGCGGCGGGGGAGGAGGGGGCGAAGAGCUCGUCUUUGCGAUUGAGGGAGAGGUGGAUGGAUUCGGGGUCGAUCGGAGGAGACGAGGAGGACGAAGAGAGCUUGCCUGCGAUCAGGGUUUUGAGGUCGCGGAGGGAGGAGGUGUCGGGGGCGUCGACGCGGAGCAUCUCCUUCGUCGCCAUGGAUCGGAUCCGAAGCUUCAUCUCUCUCCUCUUCUCUCCUCUCCUCUUCUUCUUCUUCUUCUUAGGGUUUCGGAGCUUUCGAUUGAGAGGGAGAGAGAUGUGGGAGAGACCAACAAACACCAUAUGCUUGUUGGUCGCGGCAACGUGGUAGACCGGGCGCAGCAAAUUUUUGCGUUUUCGUGAUAAAUGGGCCGGGUCAUUUGAAACAGGUGACCCGUACAAACCCGGCCCAGGCCCAAGUAAUGUUUGGGCCUUGUUGGGCCUUCUCUUUUUUUCUUUAUUUUUUUGUUCUUCAUUUUGAGCCCAUGUGAUUGAGCGAAAAUUUUUCGGCCAUGGAGUGGCAGAGUGAAAAUGCGCUAAAACUACGUGACGGCAAAUUGAAGUUUACCUUUUUUUUUUUUUCUUUUUUCUUUUUUUACUUAUGAAAGAAUGCAGAAUUAUAAAUAAGUAUAUUAGUUGAUGUGCGAAAUACAGUAGCAAGAUAUUCUUUUUAUUUUCUCAAAUGAUAAUGCUGAACAAAAUACAUUCGUUUAAUUGAAAUAUUAUUUCUACAAAUUUCGCUAGAAAAACAAGCUCCUGAUAUUAGUUCACCAAUGUCGAACAGGCCUAAAUACCAAAUGCUAAUUAAUGCCUAAUAAGGGAUUAUUGGCUUUUUUACGUGUAUCUGUAUGUUUCAACAUUUCUUAUCUGAAUAUCAAGUUGUUUCAUAUAUAAUCAAUAAUUUUAUCCAUCGGUAUAAAAUGUUUGUUCAUUUAAUAAUGCAGAACAAUCCAAAUAAGUUUAAUUUGAUGAGAGAGAGAGAGAGAGAGAGAGAGAGAGAGAGAUGCAUCAAAAGUGUGUGAGCAAACUUGUCAAAAAUUUGUAUAUAUAUAUUUGCAACAUGAAUAGAAAAGGAGGGAACCAAAUGACCCCUUUGGAGUUCACAUGUUAAUUAGCAGGUACCAAAUUGGCAGUGGGGAGUCACAUUCAUGUUGUGAGGCAAUUCAAGGAACCCUUCAGUCAAGGGACCCAUUAGGUUUGGUCUCAUAUUUGGAAGUGUCUGAACCUAAAGUGUCGUCUGCACCCGACGUAUCUGUACAACAUUAUUUACAGUCAUUUAUCUCUAAAAGUUUAAGUUAUACAGAAUGACAUACACUCCCCCUCACUUCAAGGAUUUGAGCACAAAAUUCUUGCUCUACUGAUACUAUGUUAACAGUUGUAUACAGAACAAUGUACGCAGACUUCUACUUUGAUAUCUUGCUACUAGCUAGUCAGCCAAUCAUCGGAACUCAAGCUAUGCUCAACUUUUCUCUCUUACUAAACAUCAAAAGGAGUCUCUCAGAGAUUAACUGGAAUAUACAUAUUAAAGUAUAAGAUGUAAUGGACGGUUCGGAGAGUGCAUACAGUGUAUGUGAUGCAUGGAUGCACCGAAUGCAGGCGAUGAUUUUUUAGAUCACAAGGCACUGUAGAGACCUGGGAAAUGCAGGUGGGGCAGCUGCAUGUGCAAGAGGAGGGGAGCAGUGAUCUUAUUAAAUGAAGUAGAUGUUUUUUUGGGCUGGUGCUUUUUUACAUGCUGUUUCAUUUGGAGAGGCAUGUGUUAGAAAAUUGCGUACGGUAAAAACGCAGCGGAAAAAGAAAUCAAACAAAUUUGAUUUUAGAAAACUCUCGAGAUCCAAUCUCAAAAACCACGCGCGCAAUUAGGAUCCCUCAUGUUUUAAGAUUAAAGAAGAAAAACAAGAUCGAAUCUUUACCUUUUUCGUUGAUAGAUCUUCAACUCAAUUUGAUGAUCGUGGAAUCGGGUUCUCUUGAAGCCGCACACGCGUCCGGCCUCUAUAGGUAUCCACACGAGGUUCUUGAUUUGAUCGAUGUCCUCACCGGGGUGCUAGCUCCCUUGCAAAAGGACGUCUAUUUGCUAGAAGAUGGAAGAGAGGAGAGAGGAUAGAUGACGGCUAGGGUUUUCUAAAAACUCCCGUAUAUUAUAUAUAGGAAUAUAAUCCUAUUCUUAAUAAUAUAAUGACAAUUAAGGAUAAAUAUAAAUCUAGAUUUAAAUUUAUCUUUUCCUUAAUUGGUUAGAUCNNNNNNNNNNNNNNNNNNNNNNNNNNNNNNNNNNNNNNNNNNNNNNNNNNNNNNNNNNNNNNNNNGAUCAAUUCCUAAUUUGAUUCGACUUUAAUUUUUAAUUAAUUUGAUCUUAUCAAAUUAAUAAUGCAAGAUUUGCACAUAAGUCCUCUUAUAACUUACUAACUAUUAGUAAGUCCUCUUGUACAUUUACAACCUUAAUACCACUAACUUGUAAUAAUAGCAAAUUAUUCAAUUAUCAUUAUAUUGAAAUUAGGUCCUCCGGGAUUCAAUAAUCGCGAUCUAGCUAUAGCGGGAUCAAUCACAACUCUCUAUGUGUGGUGACCCUAUAGUUCUAUUCUAUCUGGUAGUGAGUAUAUUUUGAUCACUAUCACAAUAUUCACUGAACUCCUUUCAAUGGAAUUAGAACAUUUCCAACUCAGCCCAAUGAGAAUUAUGCGACAUUCUAGAUAAAUUCUCAUGAGUCUCACAAGUCACGUGACGCCUAGGCAGCUGUCAGUGGCAUUCAGUAGAAUGGAAUAAUGAACCUCCUUGGUGCGUUACCGUGUGAUUACAAUCCUUCUAUCAUGAGUCCGACUAGACGGAGGUCUUUAUGGAAUAACUCGUCAUAACGCCACAUCGUCGUGUCAUAUGUUAAAUUUAUUCGACGUCGAGUUUCUAAUAUCGGAAACCCUUCUUCCGCUAUUUAUUCCUGCCCUGGCCAGAUCUUCUAAACUCGGUCCUAUAAAAUCAAUGCGAUAACCCCUAUCUACAAGGGAGAUAGAUUCCAUCAAUCGUGCCGCGCACACUAUUCCACAGCAUGAACCUACUGCAGCAACAUGCCCCGCUAAGGACCGAAUGGACUAAGGGACCAAGUGAUGUACAGUCAACACUACAGUAACCCAUGUGAAUAGCGAGGCACGCAGGUCAAGGACCAGUCACACUACUUGGCAACCAAUUGAGUAAGUACAAUUGCAAGGAGUGAGCAGACAUCCAAGUUACUUUGCGUGGUCACGCUCGGUACCCUUGUUCUCUAACAACCACCUGCAUAUUCGCUUCAGUGUCCCCACACUGUCGACUCGAGACUCGUCUACCCAAAAGGGAAGCGACCUAUGCACCAAUCUCACUGGAUCAAUCACCGUCCCCGUGAUGAUCCAUUGAUCGAGAGCAUUUAGGAAUUAAUCACCAAUGACACAUGUCUCAAAUUCUCAACACUUGAAAAUAUAUGUCAUCAUCUUAUUAAUUCCUUGGACGAUUCAUGGACACAUACACAACAUGAAUGGAAAUAAAAAUUCAAAGUUAUUCAUAAUAUUUUAAAAUCAAAUACAAAAUUAUGUCCUAGAAAGAAUACAUGUGUCGGCCUUGUUGGCUUCUAGGGCAUACAUCUAACAGCAUGCACUAUUGUUGUCUAGGUGAGAUGAGAAAGCCUCUUUGAGUUUUUACUCUUCAUAUAAGAAGUGCACUAUUAUUGUUUAGGUGAGAUGAGAAAGCCUCUUUGAGUUUUUACUCUUCAUAUAAGAAGGGUGUUUGGUGUUGAAUGUAUAUAAUAUUAAAAACAUCGUUCUCUAGCAACUUAUUUUAUUAAAGAAAAAUGGUUGCUUUGUAUAUUUAACAUAGUAUCAAAGCAACAUUUUUUGAGUUAGAGUCUCGCUAAAUUUCCAUCACAAUUGAUUUUCUCCCAUUUAAUUCAAACCCACAAAUACCGUCCUCUACCAGCUUAACAAUUGGUUUUUUGGAGAAGCGUGAUUUUUUGCUUUUUUUCACGGUUUUUAUGUUCAAAAUUUUAAAAAUUCAAAUAAUGCAAAUAUUAUUUUUCUAUAAAAUAUGAAAAAGCAACAAAAAAAACUAUUUUUUCCAUAAAGCAAGCAGGGAGAAAAUAUUUAUUCAGCUAGAAAAUUGUCUUCUAUAAACCAAACACCUCCUAAACUAUAUAUAUAUAUAUAUAUAUAUAUAUAUAUAUAUAUAUAUAUAUAUAUAUAUAUAUAUNNNNNNNNNNNNNNNNNNNNNNNNNNNNNNNNNNNNNNNNNNNNNNNNNNNNNNNNNNNNNNNNNNNNNNNNNNNNNNNNNNNNNNNNNNNNNNNNNNNNNNNNNNNNNNNNNNNNNNNNNNNNNNNNNNNNNNNNNNNNNNNNNNNNNNNNNNNNNNNNNNNNNNNNNNNNNNNNNNNNNNNNNNNNNNNNNNNNNNNNNNNNNNNNNNNNNNNNNNNNNNNNNNNNNNNNNNNNNNNNNNNNNNNNNNNNNNNNNNNNNNNNNNNNNNNNNNNNNNNNNNNNNNNNNNNNNNNNNNNNNNNNNNNNNNNNNNNNNNNNNNNNNNNNNNNNNNNNNNNNNNNNNNNNNNNNNNNNNNNNNNNNNNNNNNNNNNNNNNNNNNNNNNNNNNNNNNNNNNNNNNNNNNNNNNNNNNNNNNNNNNNNNNNNNNNNNNNNNNNNNNNNNNNNNNNNNNNNNNNNNNNNNNNNNNNNNNNNNNNNNNNNNNNNNNNNNNNNNNNNNNNNNNNNNNNNNNNNNNNNNNNNNNNNNNNNNNNNNNNNNNNNNNNNNNNNNNNNNNNNNNNNNNNNNNNNNNNNNNNNNNNNNNNNNNNNNNNNNNNNNNNNNNNNNNNNNNNNNNNNNNNNNNNNNNNNNNNNNNNNNNNNNNNNNNNNNNNNNNNNNNNNNNNNNNNNNNNNNNNNNNNNNNNNNNNNNNNNNNNNNNNNNNNNNNNNNNNNNNNNNNNNNNNNNNNNNNNNNNNNNNNNNNNNNNNNNNNNNNNNNNNNNNNNNNNNNNNNNNNNNNNNNNNNNNNNNNNNNNNNNNNNNNNNNNNNNNNNNNNNNNNNNNNNNNNNNNNNNNNNNNNNNNNNNNNNNNNNNNNNNNNNNNNNNNNNNNNNNNNNNNNNNNNNNNNNNNNNNNNNNNNNNNNNNNNNNNNNNNNNNNNNNNNNNNNNNNNNNNNNNNNNNNNNNNNNNNNNNNNNNNNNNNNNNNNNNNNNNNNNNNNNNNNNNNNNNNNNNNNNNNNNNNNNNNNNNNNNNNNNNNNNNNNNNNNNNNNNNNNNNNNNNNNNNNNNNNNNNNNNNNNNNNNNNNNNNNNNNNNNNNNNNNNNNNNNNNNNNNNNNNNNNNNNNNNNNNNNNNNNNNNNNNNNNNNNNNNNNNNNNNNNNNNNNNNNNNNNNNNNNNNNNNNNNNNNNNNNNNNNNNNNNNNNNNNNNNNNNNNNNNNNNNNNNNNNNNNNNNNNNNNNNNNNNNNNNNNNNNNNNNNNNNNNNNNNNNNNNNNNNNNNNNNNNNNNNNNNNNNNNNNNNNNNNNNNNNNNNNNNNNNNNNUUGUCCUAUCAAGUCGUUUUGAAUGAUCGGAACUUCAAAUUGAUAAUCGGCACCGUUGAAAUUGAUCUACACAAUUAGAAAUGUUUAGAAACCAAAUUUUGUAAUAUUUAAAAAUUAUUAUCAAGUUCAUCUUAAGAGUUAAAAAAUGAAUGGUCAUAAAUGAAUAAUCUCCUUAAAAUAGUGGUUAGACUUUCUCAAUUCAUAAUCAGAAUUAUCAAACAUUAUUUAAAUAGUAUAAAAAAUGUUUUAUCAAAAAUUUAAGCAAUUUGGGUUGCUCUACACCGUUAAACAAGCAAAUGGCUCAUAUAGGCCGUCAAAAAUUGUCGAUUUUACGACACUUUGAUCACAAUGUAAAUAAUUUUUAAAAUUUAUGAAAUUUCGUUUCUAGAUAUUUCAAAUACUCUAGAUCAACUUCAAUGGCUCCGAUCAUCGAUUCGGAAUCUCUAUCAUCAAAAACCAUUUGAUAGGACAAGUGCUACUAUUCUAUAUCUAUAAUCUAUAAACCUAAAUGAAAGCACAAUAUUUCUUGUCACGUGGCAAGCCACCCUUCAUCCCUUCAUCCUCAUAAGUAAAUAAAUAAAUAAAUAAAACUACUCCCUCUAUCUAAAUAUCAAAUUAACAAAAUAACGCACCUGGUAUUGAUUUUAUUGCUAAUCAAUGUAGAUUCAUUGAACCACUAAGUAAUAGUGACAUUAAUCCCCCAAAAAAAUGCUUUGUAUUUUCUUUACUCUUUGACUUUUACAUUAUUAAACCAACCCUUUGCCUUUCCUCUAUAUAUAACGUCUAAUUAAUGCGUUCAUCCAAUUUAAUCCUAUCUAAACCGUAAACUUAGAAAUCCAUCCAAAAGGUCCAACCCUCCACCCAUUUUAAUCCUAAUAUUAUCGUAAACCAUAAAAGCUUAUGCAAAAGCUCUAUUCUCUCUUAUGCAUGUCAUGAAAAUGAAAGCCUAUUUUUUUUCUUAUAAUAAAUUACAACCUUCUUCAUUUAGCAAGAGGUGUGAAAAUCCAUUUAUUUUUUUUUUUAAAUUUCUAAUUUUGAUAUAUUAUCCUCUUCUCAUUUUGCAUGAGAUGUGGGAGAUGCGUCAGAUCAUAACGGUGGCAGAGGCGGUAAAUGUCAUGGCAGUGGAGACCAAGAUGGCUGCGGAAGAAAGCACGGGCAAUGACAGUGGAGAUCGAGGCGGCAGUGAAAUCAGUGGCAAGCCUCGCCCUCUUAGAGACCAACAUUAAGUGAGAGUUUCUCUAUUUUUUAUUUUUUUCUCUCUUCUUAUUUUCUACUUUUUUUAAUCUAAUUUUAAUCUAUUUUACAGUAUUUUUUGUAAUUAUUUGAUAGUUUCUAUUUAAGAUGAGUUCGAUUGAAUUAAAAAUCUAAUAUUUCUAUAAUACCUGCCCGUCGCAUCGCGCGGGUAACUAUACUAGUAUAUAUAUAAAGUGGGGAAUCUUGGAGAUUUGAAGAUAAAUAAACCCUGAGAUAAUAAACAGGGCAUGUACUAUAGUAUCUAGGAGGGCUUUAUGGAAUAUGGGACCUACUGCCAUUGCUAUAAAUGAAAAAGAAACAGGGGAAAAGAUUUAACUUGAAAAAAAAAUGGAUUGUUUUUUUGUGGAAUUUGAAGGACAAGAGCAAAAGUUAACUGUACAUUAGGCAAUAAAUACAUAGUGUACAUAGGUGGCAAGUACUAUAGGUUGCUUAAUUAUUUUUGACAGGUUAAAACAAACUCACGGGUGGUAUAUAUUUUCCAUUUAAUUGUGUUACAAUGAAUAUGAUUUUUCACAUCCCAUUUAUGAAUCUCAAAUGUUAUUUAUUGAGGCAUUUCACUCCAAAUAUAGUUGCAGGUACGGAUGCAAAUGAGCCGAAUCCAGGAGUCUCCCAUCUUUCUCCCUUUUUUUUUUGUGGGUCGGGAUGGAUUCAGGACUGUUAUUUUUUUUUUUCUAUUUUUCGAGACAAAAACAAAUGCUUUGCAAAUUUUUAACUUAUGGAGAUGAUUUUUUUUUCCUCAUAUCUGGUCCUUAGGAUGAAUCGCGGCAGAAUCUCCAUCGGCCUGGAUCCAUUUGCAUCCCUCCUUGUAGAACUUAAAUGUAUCUUUUGAAAAUUUAUAAUACCAUAUAUUAAAAAAAAAGUUGAAAAUCAUAUCACUUUAUUUCUGAUUUACAAUGCAAAAUUAGACCUAAUAUUUCAACUAAAGUAAUUAACAAAUGGGGGUGGCACCGACCGUCCCUAGCGCAAGUGGCAAAGGACUUGGUGGUUGGUAUCCGAGAUCCCAUGUUUGAAUCCUAGCUGAUUCACAUUUCUAACUAAGUUUAUUUCUAAAUGAAAUAAACGAAGCGGAUAGCAUGCUGCCUAUCUCUCUCAAAAAAACAAAUGGGGGUGGCGUUUUGAACUGCUUCAAUCUCCAGCAGAAACUUUAAAGAGCUUUAAAGUGCUUUUAGAAGAUAAAAGGGAAAGCAAAAAUCUAAAAAUAACUUCAUUUAUUUAUCUUGAUGAGAGAAAGUUAUUCUAUAACUUAUAUAUAUUAUAUAUCUGGGUGAAAUAAGCCCAAAAACAUAAAGCUAUGAUUAAAAUUGCUUCUUUAAAGUUUAAACAACUCUACUUUAGAAAACACUUUGGGGCUAAUACAAGCAGGCCCUUAAUUAAGCUGCAACACAUUGAUAAAAAAGUUUAUUACAUUUACUUAGAAAGGAUUAGCAAGCAAAAAUUGAGACAAAAAAAAAAAAAAAACCCAAAAAAGAACCAAAGUAUAUGUCAUAGAAUCCAAUGCAUGGUACAACAGAAGCAUAUGAUGUGGGAAUCUCUCUUAGUAUUUUGGAAUGAUUGGUGGUGGGGGAAUGUUUGAGGACUUUGAAGCAUCUUUUUUUGGUUUUCACAGAGGAAAAGGGGGGAAUGUUUCAAGUUGUUUAAAGCAUUAUGCACAGAUGUGGCAUGAGAAAGAAAAAACNAGUCCGGCUAUGGUGCUUGUAAAAGCACGAAACACUUAGUGCUUGUAAAUUUUUUACCAUUAGAUUUAUGCCUUUGAUCAUUUUCAACCGUUAGAUUAUACUAUUCAACCAACCACCACUCAACCCUAGGGAGCCAACGUCAUCCUAACUGCACAUUUUUUAAUUCAAUGGCUAAAAAUCUACAAGCACCAACAACUUGGUACUUUUAAAAGAAUAGGAGCUCAAUUCUAUAUAUAUAUAUAUAUAUAUAAAGUGGGGAAUCUUGGAGAUUUGAAGAUAAAUAAACCCUGAGAUAAUAAACAGGGCAUGUACUAUAGUAUCUAGGAGGGCUUUAUGGAAUAUGGGACCUACUGCCAUUGCUAUAAAUGAAAAAGAAAAAGGGGAAAAGAUUUAACUUGAAAAAAAAAAUGGAUUGUUUUUUUGUGGAAUUUGAAGGACAAGAGCAAAAGUUAACUGUACAUUAGGCAAUAAAUACAUAGUGUACAUAGGUGGCAAGUACUAUAGGUUGCUUAAUUAUUUUUGACAGGUUAAAACAAACUCACGGGUGGUAUAUAUUUUCCAUUUAAUUGUGUUACAAUGAAUAUGAUUUUGCACAUCCCAUUUAUGAAUCUCAAAUGUUAUUUAUUGAGGCAUUUCACUCCAAAUAUAGUUGCAGGUACGGAUGCAAAUGAGCCGAAUCCAGGGGUCAAAGGAGUCUCCCACCUUUCUCCCUAUUUUUUUUGUGGGUCGGGAUGGAUUCAAGACUGUUAUUUUUUUUUUCUAUUUUUCGAGACAAAAACAAAUGCUUUGCAAAUUUUUAACUGAUGGAGAUGAUUUUUUUUUCCUCAUAUCUGGUCCUUAGGAUGAAUCGCGGCAGAAUCUCCAUCGGCCCGGAUCCAUUUGCAUCUCUCCUUGGAGAACUUAAAUGUAUCUUUUGAAAAUUUAUAAUACCAUAUAUUAAAAAAAAAGUUGAAAAUCAUAUCACUUUAUUUUUGAUUUACAAUGCAAAAUUAGACCUAAUAUUUCAACUUAAGUAAUUAACAAAUGGGGGUGGCACCGACCGUCCUUAGCGCAAGUGGGAAAGGACUUGGUGAUUGGUAUCCGAGAUCCCAUGUUCGAAUCCUAACUGAUUCAUAUUUCUAGCUAAUUUUGUUUUCUAAAUGAAAUAAAUGAAGCGGGUAGCAUACUACUAUCUCUCUCAAAAAAACAAAUGGGGGUGGCGUUUUGAACUGCUUCAAUCUCCAGCAGAAACAUUGGUUAUGUUAGAGGUUCUUAUGAUAGAGAAGCUUUAAAGAGCUUUGAGAAGAUAAAAAGGAAAGCAAAAAAUAUUUCUAAAAAUAACUUCAUUUAUUUAUCUUGAUGAGAGAAAGUUAUUCUAUAACUUAUAUAUAUUAUAUAUCUGGGUGAAAUAAGCCCAAAAACAUAAAGCUAGCUAUGAUUAAAAUUGCUUCUUUAAAGUUUAAACAACUCUACUUUAGAAAACACUUUGGGGCUAAUACAAGCAGGCCCUUAAUUAAGCUGCAACACAUUGAUAAAAAAGUUUAUUACAUUUACUUAGAAAGGAUUAGCAAGCAAAAAUUGAGACAAAAAAAAAAAAAAAACCCAAAAAAGAACCAAAGUAUAUGUCAUAGAAUCCAAUGCAUGGUACAACAGAAGCAUAUGAUGUGGGAAUCUCUCUGAGUAUUUUGGAAUGAUUGGUGGUGGGGGAAUGUUUGAGGACUUUGAAACAUCUUUUUUUGGUUUUCACAGAGGAAAAGGGGGGAAUGUUUCAAGUUGUUUAAAGCAUUAUGCACAGAUGUGGCAUGAGAAAGAAAAAAAAAACAAAAAAAAGGAAAAGAGUAAGGUGCAUGGUGGUCAAAAAAGUUUACACUGCAUUUGCUUUGAGGCAAUUAAGCUGCUUUUUCAUAAUGUACUUCUUUGCAGCAGCUGCAGGAGAUUUAAGCCAACAAAAGAACAUCAUUUCAUGCAAUGAGUUUCCAAAAUCCCCCAACAUAGUGGGCCCAGAAAAGUUCCCCCAAAAAAGAACAUAAAAAAGAAAUACUAGAGCAUAUGUUUCCACCAAUAUUACACCUCAUGCAAUCACCAAUCUCACCAAAACAACAACUUGAGGAGGGGGGAAAGAGAAAAUGACCUCCCUACUCCCUUCACACAACUUGGUCUAGUUUCUACUCUAACCAUCAGUCCAUGCAGCAAAAACUGGCAUUUGAAUCCAAGAACUCACUGAAUUUUGAGAGAUAAACUUGUUUGGAGUCUUAGAAUAAAACCCAGUGAAACCAGCUUUCUCAGGGCUCCCCUCUCUAGAGCAACUCAAACUUGUCGCCAAAGAAGACGAAUUCGAGACAUGGGUGCUCGCCAGUUUCCCGCUGUCGUCGAUCUCGUGCCUCGAGUUCUCGAUCUCCACGUCGACCAGCCCGUUAAGAGGCGAAGCGAAAAUCGCCGCUGCUUCCCCGAUCGGCUUCUGCUCGCCAGUUUCGGAGGAUCUCGCUGCUGCUGCUGCUGCCGCCGCCUCUUGUUGGGCUGAUUGGUAGAGAACCAUCUUCCAAUCGGAAGCGCACUGGUCAUUUUCGUCGGUUAGAUUCAGAUUCGAGACUUCGUUGCAUGAUUCGAUCGCUUUGGCCUUGCGGGCAAGCUCUCCCGGGAGCAGCGUAUUGCUGGCCAUGAUCCUCUCCACGUCGUAUCGCGUUAUGUCGAAGUUGGUAACCGCAUUCGCCCCUCGGAAUUUUAUCGCGGCUAUGUCGUAGGCCUCCGCCGCUUCCUCUUGAGUACCUGUAAAUUGUCCUCCUAAAGUUUUAGGCUAACUAAUUCUACUCUAGUUAACCCCUACAAAUUGUAUUCAAUAUUUCUUCCGAUUACAAACGAACAUGUGAAAUGAAAAAGCUAAAUGUGUCGCACUCGAAAAGGCUUAAUAAUGGUUUAUUUUUUCAUAUUAAUUGUAGAUUAUUAGAAUAUUAGGCUUCUUAUUAGACUGAUAUAUAAACAAAGAACUCUAGUAAGUAGGAACUCGAUGAACUUACUGAACGUUCCGAGGUAAAGAUCUUUGUUUCCGGCUACUCUACCGAUUCGCGCUUGCCAUCGUCCGUGCUGAUGGUGCCUGAAAAAGUAAUAACACAAAAGAUUAUGCAAUGUUAAUUGCAAUCCUCAACAGAGAAAGGGUUUUUUUUUCCCCUUUUUUUUACGUGGUGUGUAUGUAGAAAGACCUUGUCACUCCUCGGUACAUCGAAGCGCCGCGAGAAAAUCCGCUGCUUUUCCUGUUAAUUGGUGUAGAAAAUUAAAGCAAUGCUUUUUGUUUUAAGUUGAGAAACAAAUAUAUGAAAUAUUGAAAUGGCAUGGAAAUAGUAUUUGCCUUCGUAAAUGCGCGACGUAUUCUUGCCUACUCAUGUUUUUCAUCUCCUCUAGCUCUUCUUGGUAACUCUCCAGCUUUUUAAUACAAACUAAGAUAUUAGGCCACUAUUUAACAGAUAAUGAACUACAACUCUGAUUAAACGAGUUCAAAUGAUCGAACCAUACAGGGAAAUUGAUGUGAGUCGAAAGUCCCCAGUACUUGAGCGCGGCUAAGUCGUAAGCUCUCGCGGCUUUCUCUUCCAUGUCAUAGCCACCUAAGGACAUAAGCAAAGGAAAUUCUUAAUAAAAAGGAUAAAAAGAAAAAUAUAUAUAUUUCCAAUGUUUGAGUUACUAUAAAGUAGGAAGAACCAUGCUUACCUAAGUAAACUGCAGGACACCAUUGUUUCAAUGAUAUUCCCCAUAGCAAAAAUGUGACAUAAAAAUGACAAAAUUUAAUACAUAAUCAGCAAAUAUGUCAUUAAAGUUCCAAACAAAAAGGACAAAAAAAAUCUUAAAAUGUAAAAAAAAAAAAAGAAAAAGAAAAAAGAGGUCCUGUGCUUAACCUUGUCUUCCUUUCCUUGUUUGGCCUUCUUUCUUGCAGCUGUUGUCCCAGAGAUGGGCUUCAUAUCUUCCAGUCCACCUGUGCCUGAUUCCGAAACCAAAUAUUAUAUUUCAAAAUUCUUUUAUUUUUUAUGUUAAUAUAUAUAUAUAUAUAUAUAUAUAUAUAGAAUUAGGCUGGAAUACUAUUAAUAGUAAAAUGCUUUUUUUGCUAUCAAGUUUUUAACCCUUGGAUGAAAAAUUAUAGGGUCAGGAUGAUAUUAGUCGGUUAGAGUUAAGUGGUUCCCCUAGGGUUGAGUGGUCCCCACUGGGUUAUAGUAUUUAAUCCAAUGGUUAGAAAUAAUGAAAAGAGUUAAUCCAAAGGCUAAAAAACUGGUAGCAACAAUGGGAUUUUGCUACUAAUAGUAGCCCAGUCCAACUCUAUAUAUAUAUAUAUAUAUUCUGGACAUGUUUCCUACUAGAUUGAUCUUUCGUUGUGUAAGGUCGUGGGAAUUAAAUUCCCGCAUUAUAUAAUGGGUUAAAUUUCCCAUCUCUUACCUCACCUAGUGAUCGAUUUAGCUUAUAUCAUACAUACAGCAAGAAAAUAGAGGUAAUUUUUUUUUUUAGUACCAGAUGUCUCAAUCCUUAUUAUUCAGCAUAUAUAACACAUUUUUGUUGUACCCAAUCAGAUUCACAAGCAGCCAAAAGAUUUAAAACAUGUAUAAGAUAUUAGAACUGGGACAGAGAUAUACAAAAUAGAAACUGAACAAGCACAACAUGAAAACAGCAUACAAUUGUGACCAAGUAUAUCACUAGCACUAGAGAGAGAGAGAGAGAGAGAGAGAGAGAGAGAGAGAGAGAUGUAAAUAUAAGUAAAUUAAAUAAAUAAAAUAAAAAAGGCAACAUUAUUUGAUUUACUGACCUGGUGACACCCCUGUAUUGAGAAGUUCUCUGCCCAAAUGUAUCAAUGGACUUCCUGUGAACAGUUUGCUUCUGCCCCAUUUUCCCACCCCCCCUCUUUUUGCUUGCACCAUCCAAGCCCAUGAUGCAUUGAUCAUUUGUUGCAGCAGCAGCAGCAGUGGAGUUAGUGGUUGUAGCAAGUGGUGCAAUCUCUUGUGGAGCUGUCACACAGCUAGAUUGAGACCCUGGGCUCAUGGACAAGCUCAGUGGCUUCAAGUCCCCAUACACCACUCCUCCCUCAACCAACCCAGUGUUAUUGGUAUUAUGAGCACUACCAUAAUCCAAUGGUGUGUUGUACAUCAACAUGCUCUCUUCUAAUGGUUGGAAAUAGGGGUUGUGUUGCCUGUAAUGCAGCUGGAGGAGGUUCAGAUUCAAAGGGUGGUUCCUAUUGCUCUCACUCUCCAUGUUUUGGUUGUAGUACAUUGUGGUGUUGUCCAAGCUUAAGCCCAUUGCUUCUCCCUCAUUGGUUGGAGUUGGAACACCACCAUUACCACCUCCUCCUCCUCCUCCUCCUCCUCCACCACCACCACAACCUAAGAAGUCCUCUAGCUUGGGGGAUGGAGAUGGCACCAUUCCUUUGAUACAUCAAACCAAAGUAGAAAAGAAGGAAAAAAGUUAAUUAGUUGGUUUUUCUUUUUAAAAAAAAAAAAAAAAAGAAGCUUGAAGCUUGAUGUAUGUGUAUAAAUAUAUACCUUGGUGCUGUGAUCUGUGAAGAGCUUCCAUGAUGCAGAGAGAACCAUCUGAUUUGAGAGGCAUGAUGGGGAGCUGAGAGUAGAGAGCCUCAUUGUUGUUGUUGUCUCCUUCAACUCCAUAGCACAUGGUGGGAGGAGGAGGAGGAGGAGGAGGAGAGAGGAAGAAGCUGCAUGGGAGUGAGGAGGAGGGAGAUGAUGAAGGGGGGCCAUGGAGAUGAUGGUGGUGUUGAUGGUGAUGAUGGGGUGGGUCAGAAGACACCUCCAUGUUCAUUUGAGGGGAGAGAGAGAAACCCAACCAGUUGUUGCUCAUGGCUUUCAUCUCCCUCCUCCACUCCACCUUCUCGAGAGAGAGUGAGAGAGAGAGAGAGAGAGAGAGAGAGAGAGAGAAUCUAACAAGAACCUAUGCAAGUAACCUCAUUCAUUGAGAGGAUAAAACAUACACAAACUAUAUAGAAUCAAAACAAGCAGCAAUCCUCUCGCAUUAUAUUCUUCUCAUUGGUGGAGAACAUCAACAUGGGGCCCCUUCAAACUUAAGCCAAAAAAGAGAAGAAUAGCUAGCUCCACCAAGCAAAGCAUGGAUAGGGAUCUGUGUAGAGAGAGAGAGAGAGAGAGAGAGAGAGAGAGCACCUAAACCCCACUCUUGCAGCCUUUUAUAAAUACAAGCCCUUAAACCCUCCUAAAAGCCCUUUGCUUAUGAGAAGUACAGCAAACAUCCCACUACAAUGGACUCUCUUUUGAUUUGCUCAUGACCAAGGAAGAAGUGAUUGAAGAGAGAGAGAGAGAGAGAGAGAGAGAGAGAGAGUUAAUGAGAGGUUGCCAUUAAGGAGCUUUUCUACUCUUUCCUCUUUCUUCUUCUCCUUUCCUUCCCCUUCUUAUGCUAUAUCUAUAUCUUUAGCUGGAUAGUGGUCAGAGAGAAACAGUCUCUCUCUCUCUUUCUACCUCUAUCUCUCUCUCUCUCUCUCUCUCAUGGCCAUGAGAGAGAGAGAUAGAUAGAUAGAUAGAUAGAUUUAGACAGAGAGAGGACAACUGUCUCAACCAGUCACUUCACAGCAGUACCAUCUUCUGUACCACACUACUGCAACAGCUACCCCCCAAGGAUCCAAAUUAAAAUCAUAUGCCCAACCUUGUUCAUUCAAAAAUCAAAACAAACAUAGAGAAAGAUUGACAAAGAGAGAGAGAGUUAGAGAGUUGUCUAUGUACUCCACAAUGAGGGCAAUGCUUCGUGUUUUGCAUAUUCUGAUGCAUUUAAUAUCUUUCUCAUAUGUCAUUUUCACAUAUAUGACAAUAUGAAUAAUAGUUAGUAUUUAUAUAAGGUGUGAUUUUUUGAGAAUAAUGCAAAAUAAUUAUUUGUAGGGAUCUGAUGCACCUCAAAAACUAUUGUUGUGCCAAUUUUCAUCAAAACUUUAAUUUUUUAUUUUUUUUGCCUUUUUGCAUUACUAAUUAUUAGAGAAAUCCAAAUACACUCUUGGAAUACCUUAUGUAUGAGAAAGAGAGGUGGGACUAAUAGUUACAGUUGAUAUUGAUAUUUCAUUACAGUUGUAUACAGGAGAAAUAAUAAAUUGAGAUCCAGUGUGGGAAUAGGGAUGGGGAACCUGUGUUUUGCUGAAAACUUGCAUGUUCAUAUAAACAUGUCAUGCUUUUUUUUGAGCUACUGGGAUGUAGUCAACAGCUGCUUCCAGACAAAAAAGUGGUAUGUGGGUCUCCAUGACAUGCUUCAUAUAUUCCAGGAAUGAUGAGGGAAGGGCCCAAAAUCAUCAAAAAAUAAAAAUAAAAAUAAAAAACAAUAAAAAGAAAGAAAAAAAAAAAAGAAGAAGAAACUCUCUCUCUCUCUUUCUCUCAUGCAUGUUCUCAUGUGAAUUGAUAUCUAUGUAUACUGUUACCUACUCAGUUACAGGAAUCAAGAGGGCAAGUAAUUACCGACCGUCUGUAGAGUAAGUGAUAAAAGACUUGAUGAUUGAUACCUGAGAUCCAAGUUCAAAUUCUAAUUGAUUCACAUUUUCAGCUAAAUUUAUUUCUAAAUGAAAUAAAUGAAGCGGUAGCGUGCUACCUAUCUCUCUAAAAAAAAAAAGAGGGCCAGUAAUUAACUACAAUAAGUUCUUAAUUUAUAAAGGGAAAACUUAAAAUGCUACCUAUGUGGUUUUACACUUUUUUAUUUUAAUAUUUCGUAGUUUAAAGUGUAUUAAUUUAAGACCUUAUGAUUUCGUACUUUCUCAUUUUAGUACUCUGUUCCUGUGGUUCAAAGCGCAUCAAUUUAGUAUUCUGUAGUUUAAUUUUUCUCUUUUUGUUGGCUCCUCUGUUAAUAUUUCGUUAAAUUAUAUACAAAAAAUUUCAGAUACCCUACCUAGGUUUAUCGAAUAUUUACUUUAGUAUUCUUUAGUUUUAACUUUGUCACUGAUUUUUUUUUCCUCCGUUAAUAUUUCGUUAAAUUAUAUACAAAAACUUUAGAUACUUUAUCUAGGUUUACCGAAUAUUCACUUCAGUAUCCUUUAAUUUUAAUUUUGUUAUUGAUUUAACGCAAAUAAUUAGUGAAAUGGAUAAUAAAAAGAGAAAAAUAAAACCAUAAGAUACUCACUUGAUAUACUUUAAACCACAGGGUACUAAAGUGAGAAAGUGCGAAACCACAGGGGCUAACUUGAUACAUUUUAAACCAUAGGGUACUAAAGUGAGAAAGUCUGAAACCACAGGGGCGGGAUUUGAAGUUUACCCUAAUUAAUUUCAAUAAGUUCUUUAAAUGGUUUUGGAAGUUCUUCUUUUUCUUUUUUAGUUUCCUUCUAAUUGGAUGCUAAAAACUUAGUUUGAAUUAAAGUUAUUACAUGGGUUUUAUUAAUUAAGGAAAGUGGUGUGUAAUUGCAUGGGUCCUCUCCUCUAAAGCCAGAAAAACAGCUUGAAAGUACAAAGAGGAAUGUGCCUAACUUCUUAUUAAGGGAACUUGUUAAUUCUAUAAUUUAAGCUGAUUAAGGGCCCUCCUUAAUUAUAAUGAUUUAAACUGAACUUUGCCUUUUGAUAGAUAACCCACAUGUUGUAUUCUAAUGUUCUGAUUACCGCGAAAUCAUCACUCCCUCUUCCCCACGAAACAUAUAAUUAUAAGCUCUUUUUUCUCUUGAAUUUUAUGGCUUAAUUGCUUGUUCUUAAUGAAGUUCAUACAGAAUUAAGUAUCAUUUGCACUGAACUAUUUGAAGAAAUAUUAGUAUUAUUUUAUUUAUACCAUUUUAAAUAUUUUAGAAGUUUCAACGAUUAAAUUCAUGUUUCUUGUUUUUCAUAAUAAAAAUAGCUACUUUAGAAGGAAAGUAUUUAAUUGCGUCACCUCUUCUGAUUAAAUUCAUGUCUAUCGCUUUUCAAAAUAAAAAUAGCUAUUUUAGAAAACAACUAUCUAAUUGCAUAAUACGAUCCGAUCCGCUAGUAACAAUAACUUGUUGGGUCCAAACCACUUGCCCAAUGCUUAAAUCUAGUUAUUAUUACUAGCGAUAUUCUAAUUAAAAUCGUUGUUUAGACCCUGACGUUUUCGUUAUGUUCAAAGCCGAUAACAGACAGACAGAUCAGGACUAGAAUUAAUGUGAGAUUUUGGAGAUGGAUCUUACGGGUUCAAAAGAUGACUCCCACCAAAUCCGUUGGUCCAAAUCCGUUGGUAUAGCAUUUUGCCCCGCAUAGCACUUAGCUCUCACACUUCCGGCUGAUAUUCGGCUCUGAUACCAAUUGUAACGACUUGACCCGCCGGCAAUAAUAACUCGUCGGGUCCAAACCACCGACCCAAAAUACUUAAGCUUAGUUAUUAUUACCAACAUGCGAGGCCUCAUAUAUUUUAAUCAAAAUCAGUUUUUUAUCCGAUGUGGAAUUAUUGGGGUUGGGGUGUUCCAUUGCAUCACCAAAUCAUUGUGCUGAGAAGAUGUGGCGUGAGAUGCUUGCUUUGCAGCUUGAUAGGCCCCCUAAUAAUAAUAAUAAUAAUAAUAAUAUAUAUAAAUCCCCUACUUAGACUAUUUUAGGAGGGAGUAAUGAGCAAUGUUGCUCAAUAUUUGGAGCCCUUAGAAACUGGGAGGUGGGGAUUAUUAUAUCUCCUGAAUAAGAGGCUCCUAAUUAUGGCUCUUCUAUGAUGAUGAUGAUGCAUGCAGAUGUGCAUGGCUUUUUUUGGAGACAGAUUUUCAAGCAAAAAUGAUUGCUUGGUAUCAGAAAAGGAAAAGGGCAGUAGUAGAGGGAUUUGAGCAUCAGGAAUGAGAGGGGAAGCUGCAUGCAUGGGGUCAUCAGGAGGAGUUGAGAUUUGUUCCCUAGACUUAGUCGAUCUCCAUCAGUUGUAGACCAUUAAUAGCAGAAUAAUAGAUCAAAAUAUACGUUAUAAAUUCAGACUCUAGUUGAUUUUAUCUAAAGGAUUAAGUUCUUAACACUUCUGCUUACAUAAAUAUCAGGUAAACUAUGUCACGUGCGUUGAUUCGAAAGGUAACAAAAAAAAAUGCAUAUAAAUUGGCAGAUAUGAAAAAUAACCUUUCAGAAUUUAAGAUUAUUUUUUGUUGAAUGGUGAGGAUUGAUAAUGAGAGGUUGGAUGUGUGAAUGGUCCAUGUGAUGACAUGGUGGAGUAGAUCCAAGCAAUAGUUUUUUGCAUGAGAAGGAGAUUUCUUUGGCAUGCCCCCCCCCCUGAUCUCUCUUUUGAUUGUUGCCAUCAUGGUGGAGACCACCAGCUAUACAACCUACAUAAAGAGCUUUUUUCCCAUAGAAUAAUACCCCUAGCUAGUUAUGCUACGUGUACCUACAAAUGGACCCUAAAAUAAUUGUUAAUAAGUUAUUUUCUUAUUUAUACAUAUGAUAGGUAACAUUUGAUUUAAAAUUUCAAACCUUAGACAACUUUAAAAUAACAAAUUAAUCUUUAAUAAGUGUCCAUUCAUCAUCAGCAAUAAUGGAGGAUACAAUUUAAGGCACACUAAGUAUUAUUAGUCGAAGUAUGUCUCUUCUUUGUCUCUAUGUACUUCCACAGCUAAAGUAAAAAAUUCAAGUAUCAAAGGUAAAAGCUCCGAUUUAAAAGCUUUAUUAUAUUAUAAAAAUAAACUAUAUAUUCUAAAAACUUAAUGUGGUCCUAAUUAAUAUCGAUGUUUCUAUGUAGCUACAAACUCGGUUAGUAUGAUCAUCUUCUACCUACGGUAGUCUUUCAUUCCUUUCAUUCUUUAGAUAUCGAAUUUUAACUCCAUGACUUGCUGUUUUAUUUCGAAUCUAAAGUUCUUAGAGAUAUCCUACACGCGUACAUGGUAGACCCGGUCCACACAAUUAAUGAUUCUUAAAUAAGCCAAAAUUGUUGGAGAUAAUUAUUUGGCCAUGCAAAUUAAAUUUAUUUGAUUCUAGCAAAGAGGUGUGCACUGCAUCGUCCAGGAUAUAUAUAUAUAUAUAUAUGUCGCAGAUUUUGCACGGUAGCCCAAAUAUUAUUACAAAUUCGCACCUGAAGAUAUGCCCAUUUGCGUGUGGUACAUCGCAUUUACUAUGUUAUAUUAAUCUCAUUAAUUAUCAUAUCUAGCUAAAAACAACAACAAGGAUCAUAUAUAUGGUUGUUCUUUAAUAAACACAAAAAAAAAGAGAAAAAAAAAUUAAAAUAAAAUGAUUCAUGCAUGCUCCAGAAACUUGGACAAAUUAAUAUGAUAGUACAAUGUCGGUGAAGGUAUUAAAUAGUCCUCAAUUUUGCAAGCAUGCAUGUGCAUCGUAUAUAUAUUAAUUUUGCAGUGAUGUUCUACGAUUGUACUUUCGCUUUUACUAAUGCAUAUAUGAUCAUUUUUAUGUGGCAGGUGAAGGAGAUCGCGUACAACUCUUUAAAGUUCGAACUAAGUGUGCGGAUUUAAUCGCAGAUUCACUUAGUUUUUAGAAAUAAAUUCAGCAAGAAAUAUAAAGAAAUUAAGCUUCGUACUUGAAAACUCAGAUACCAACGAUCAAAUUUUAGUCAACUCGGUCACUAAAGAAAUAUUUAUAUAUAGUUUAGAAAUUUUCUCCAUAUGAAUACAUGAUCAAUUUUCUUAAUAUUUACAUUACGUUUAAGAUAUUAUUAUAAAUUUGUUUCGUUAAUUGUUGUAGCAAAUACUCUAAUAUUAAUUUUGUGAGUUUUAUUUGAAAAAAAGUCAAUAGAAGAAAUUUUCUUCUAUUGAAUACGAGACUAUUAUUCUUAAUAUUUACAUUGCAUGUACAAGAUAUUUAUUGUAAAUUAGUUUUGUUGCUGUAACAAAUAUUUUAAUAUUUUGCGAGUUUUAUUUGCAAAAACUCGUCAUAAAUUUUAUUUAUUUUUUCUCUCUGAUCAGCUACGGUAACUCGAGAUCCUCGGUUCGUCUUAGCUAGUACAAUUUCACAAUGUCAGGGUCAAAAUCUUGGGCUUAAAAUUAAUGAAAUGGGACACAAAAUUUGCAUAACCGUAUCAUGAUCAUAUAUAUAUAUAUAUACAUACCCUUUAUUUAGAGCAAAAUAUUUAAUGAUAGAGGUAGUAAUUAAUUAAUGAAUUAAUUCUCUAUUUUACUGCUAUCUCUUAAUGCUGAAUAUUAUAUAUCAAUUUUACUUAUUUUUAUAAAUUGAAUACCAAUUUUUGUUAAAACUAAUCAAUAAAUUCAUUAACUACGGAUAAAAGGUGUUAACGAUUUAACGUAUAAACAAUGGUAAUUGUCUUUAUUUUCCUAAUUUUUGCUAUUUUUUUUAAAAAAAUUUUGUGAAUCCUACAAUUUGAGGGGUGUGAUAUUUAUACCUAUAUAAAAAUACGUAGGUAGCAUUUUUCUUAAUUUAUAAAGCAAGGUCUUAUUCAAAAGUUAAUUAGUUAAUUAAGUAUAUAUAUGGUGCAAAUUAUGUUCUCCAAUUGAGGAAGUGUUUUUUUUAUUUAAUUUUUACUAAAAUAUUAUUUUAUUCAAUAGGAUUGUCAAAGUCUUUUCUUAAUUCUUUUUGUUUAGGUCAUUAAUCAGGGCCUGUUUGGUCCUGCUAAGAGUUUUGUUUGUUUGUUUUUUUCUUUUUUACUUCUAUAGGAUAUGGUGUAAUUUAAUGCAAUACUAUUUGAAAGAAUAAGCACUACAUUUAAGUACUUUGCACAAAAUUUUCGUACAGCAUAACCAAAAAUAUCAAACUAAAACUGGAACUUUUUGUUAGAUUUGUCUCUAAUUCUAGAAUUGCAAAAAAAAUUUUAACUCUAUUAUGUUUUGAUUAUUCCAUUAAAUUAACUUUAGAUUGUCGCUAAUUUUUGUGGGUCUGUAUUUCUAGUUGUAUUAAAAUUUAAUUACUAUUAUAAAUAUAGCCUUUAUUCUAUUAGUUUGGUGUGGCAGAUGAAAGAAAGGAUAUGUGUAUUUUUGGAAUUAGGGUUUUGUGACAGAAUCGUAUUUUAUACAUUAUUUUAAUUAUAAUGAAGAUUCUCGUUCCGUCUUCAUCUGUGGACAUAGGUUGGUGAUGGAACCACAUAAAUAUUAUGUAUUUUAUUUAUUUAUUUUUUAAAAUCUUUUUUAUAUUUCUGUACUCGACGAACUAAAUCAUUUUCAUUUUCAUAAUACACUUUCAGAAGAUAAGAGAGAGAGAGAGAGAGAGCAGUGGUCCAGUACACCUGAAGCAAUGACAGUGUGAGUGAUGGUGGUGCUUUUGCUCUUCCCCUGAUGAUACACUACAAAGCUGAGUCAAAACCUAGCCAGAUAAACUGACUUGAGUUAUGCCAAUUGAUUUGGCCCCAGCUACAUACUAGCUACAUGCUAGCUAGUACAGUGUACAACAAUAUGUACCUAGCUAGGCCAAGUUGCAUUUAGCUUUACAUAUAUUUUGUCUUCUACAAGACUAGCAAAAUAUAGUAUAAAAUGAGCAUGGUUAUCUGUAAUAAACAUUUGGUAAUCUGAAAAGUGAGAAGAGUGUUUGUUUCACUGAGGGCCCGUUUGUUUUGGUGUAAGUGGAGUAAUAGAACUCAAGUUUCAUCACUUUCGUUAUUUAUUUUGAUGUAAGUGAAAAAUAUAAUGUAACUCAAGUUACAUUAGAGCUCCAUUUCACCUACUCUCGACUUCUUCCUCUAAAGUGCCGAACUCGACUUUUACUACACUCAACUUCCUCUAAAAAAUUUAUUAAACAGUAAAACCUAAACUCUACUUCCUUUAUAAUGGGUUAGAAUUACCUUAUUUAUAAUAAAUUAGGAUUAUUUUUAAAUAAUAAAAAAAACUAAUUAUAUAAUAGAUUAAAUUUUAUAGUGGUAAAUUUACUACUAUAUUUAGGAGAUAAUAAGAUCCACUUACUUAUAUCAAAAUAAACAACGGAACUCAAAAAACUAAUUUUACCAGCACCAAGUUACAUCAAAACAAACAACAGAAGUGAUUGAAUUUAACUUUCAGGCGGUACAAGUUACGUCAAAACAAACAAAAAAAAAAUAAUCACACUUCAGGGAAACUCAAACACCACUACUCUUGAUUUACGUUGAAUCUACAAAUACGUCAAUCCAAACGCCCCCUAAAAUGAAGAGUAAUAAAAUAAUUUUCAGUCGUAAAUGUUUGUUUUUAUUAUUUGGUUUUCCGAAAUCUUAUUCACGAUCGAAACUCAAAUUUUUCGAAAUAUCGUGAUCGACUUCAGUUCAUCUCGAGCUAUGAUUAAUUACGGAAAGUAAAAGUGAAGAAAAAAAAUAAUAAAAAUAUUUAAAAUGAGAAAUUUUAGUUUUUAUGUUAUUCACUUCCGGUCGAAUAAAAAAUAGAACUGAAAAAACUUUAGUUUUAUAACUAGACAAACAAACGGCGGAAGAGAAGUAAUUUUUACUCGAGAAUUUUUUUUUACCUAAAUUCUAAUUCACUUGAAAUUCUAUUUUAAUCCAAACUUCACCUUUGAUUAAAAAAAAAAAAAAAGCAAAAUUAUGAUUUUCAGGUGAAAAUAUAAAAGUUAUAAACUCAUGAGGGCUUCUAAUUCUACUGUGGCGAAACAUUAUUGAGAGAAAUUUAAUAUUUUUGUAUUUUUGGUAGUAGUACUUGAUCCAGAGAAAGUAUUUUAUCAAACAGCACUAUAUUCUACGGACUAAUUUAGAGUACCUAAAAUAUCUACACUGUGUUGAAGUAUUUAAGGUCAAUUACAACAACAAAGAUGAAGAUAAAGAAGACAACGUGAUCUUAUUAAAUCGACAUGUUACUAUUUCAUGUACACUCAUAAGUGUUUAUUUUAUUUAGCUUCUAAAAUAGUUUCUCUAUUCAAGAAAGUAAAAGCAUUUCUAAAAUGAACGACAUGUUAAAGUCUAAUGUUUGGAACCUUGUGAAAAUACUACAAGAAUUUUUAUUAAAUAGUCAAUGUAAACAACACUUCUGCGAAAGUUGCUGAGUUAUCAAACCAUGUCCACAUAUAUUUUGCCAUUGUUCUCAUGUAAGACUGAGACCAAGUUGCUACACUGCAAAGCAAUUUCAUCCAUAUGGUACUAAUUUGGCCUCAUUAUAAACUUCUAUUAUUCCUCAACUAAGGAACAAAAGGUGAAUUGAGCUUUGUGGACCUAAUUUUUAGGCCUUCCUCUUUUUUUUUUUUUUGGUUGGUGUAUACAUUAUAAACCUUCCCUUGUAUUUUGAGCAUUUAUGUACAUUUUAUAAAUCAUGAGAUGGUAAAUUAAUUAUAGCACUUUACUGUCUCCCACUCAUAAUUUUUCAAACUGAAGUUUAUGAAAUAUAUUAUUUUGCUAUCCUUUCUCAACAAAAAAUCUUGUGAAAACUAAAGGCUUAAUUACACUACACUACAUGCUAUAGUUAAAGAGUUCUUUUUUUAUCUAUAUUAUAUAUAUUAUAUAUCUAUAUAUAUAAUAUAUUUUCAAAGAUACCAAUAAUUUAUUUUUGGUCACUCUCUCUACUAUAUAUGAAAAUUAGCACAUUGUUUACAGCAGUAGAGUGUACAUUUAGCCACUUUGACAAGAAAAAAUUGAAAAACACCAGAAAAUAAUGUGAAAAAUAGUUAAAAAUAACUUGACAAAAACUUUCAUUAAAUCUAUUUUGAUGGGUUAUUUUUUUUUUCCUACUAUCUAAAUACUGUCUUUUAAUAGAGUUAUUAGUUUCUAUUUAAAACAACAGACUUGUUGCCAGUUUUUUUUUUUCAAAAAUAAAGUAGUAUAAAGCAAGAAAAAAAAUCUAAAAGUAAAGUGUAAAAUUUGAUUAAAAAAAAUAGUUCGAUAAUGUCUUUUCAUUAAAUCUAUUUUGAUGGGUUAUUUUUUUUUUCNUACAUAUAUAUAUAUAUAUAUAUAUAUAUAUAUAUAUAUAUAUAUAUAUAUAUAUAUAUAUAUAUAUAUAUAUAUAUAUAUAUAUAUAUAUACACAUAUAAUGUAGAGCUACUAUAUAUGCUAGCUAUCGAAAGUAUAAAAGAGUUGGUCAUUGGAUCAAGAAUUGUGUGUCGGGAUGAUAGUGAUCCUCCUAAGAUAAUUAAUAAUAUUAAUCCAAAUAUCAGAAAUGAUCAAAAUAAUUAUAAAGGCCAAAAAAUUGAAAACACAAACUUCUUUAUACUUCCCAGAUUAAGUAUAACAGCUCUACGUACUAUAUAUAUAUAUAUAGUAUAACAAAUGAAAAUAACACUAAAGUACAAAACUUAAGCAAAAUUACAAAGAGUGUAGUGCUGUAGUUUGAACUACAAAAUAAUAAACUGUAAAUAUAUUAUAUCUUAGAAGUGCUUCUUUUCUUCUUCUUCUCAUUAUUUUUUUCAUUUUUUGAGCCUGAUAUAUAUCAUGCAUACAAAAGAAACAGUAAAUGGCCCACCACCCUUGGCCCUUAGCCUCAGAUGCUAAAGUGGAAGUAUAUAGUACCCAUAUAAUUUUAGCCUCACAUGAACAUGAGGGACCAUAACAAAAACAAAUGACUUGACAAGUCAUGGACAUAUUUGGGGGCACUCUCCUAGUACACAUUAUUCGAAUUAUCACAUGAUUUUCCUUUUUUUGUUUUGAGAAUGAUAGGGAUUUAAUAGUUGUAUAUAACAAAGACAUCCUUAAACAGAAGGGGAAAAAAAAAAAAAAUCUAUCAUCAUGGUUGGGAAACUUCUAAUACACAUGAUGUUCUUAUGUCUAUAUUAUCCUCACUUUUAAUAAUUAUGCUUGCUUUUGUCAUCCUAAUGUUUGUGUUAUAAUUAAUAUGAAUCAAGCAAAGGUUACACGUAUUUGGAAUCACCGCAGGACACGAUGUCGUAUAUUGUGAGAAAAUGCAAUAGAAAAAUAUUUUAUUUGUUUCUGUCCUAUCUAGUUUGUUAAAAUGUAAUUAUUAUGGUUUCAUCAAAAUAAAGAGAAUCAUAAUUCUAUAAACUUUUUUCACCUCAUUUUUUUUUUAGACCCAUCACAUUAAGCUGAGAUUAACAUAAAAUUAAAAGCCUUAAAAGUUUUUAUAUGUCAAAUGUUCACUAAACUGUUCUAGAAAUCAAACCAAUCACACACAAGUUGGUAUUUGAAAUGGAUUAAAAAAAAAAAAACAUGCUAUUUCAUGGCUCUUGGCUUUCUUGGUGGUUUUUGUUUUCAAUGAUAGAAAUAGAAAAAAGAAAGGAGGAGGGAAAGGUGACAUCCUAUUUCCUGCUGAGCCCCUGAAACAGUGCCAAGAAUAAUACAAAAUUUAAAUGUAGGGGGGUGGGGGUGUGUGGGUGUGGGGGGGACUUGUCCUUCACAUGGGGAGCACAAAAUCCAAACAAAAUCCAAGCAAAGAUCCCAAGCAAAGAGCACAGAUAGCCUAAAGGUAAAGGAGGAGGAAGGUCUAUUUGGAUGGCAACUGAAUGAGAGUGACAAGUGCUUCUGUACAAAGAGAAAACAUAACUAAAGUCAGAGAGAGAGAGAGAGAGAGUUCACAUGACAUUCCACUUCCCUCUUAACUCCCAUAUAAGUCUGUUCCAUCUUCCGUUUGCUUUUCUCUUUAUCUUGUAGUUAUAUUGUAACGUGUCUGAAAAUAUUAGUCAGAUUUGUAUAUAUGAUAGAUUAUUUAGUAAUAAAACACGGAGUGGAGUUCUAUUGCCAGAAUGUGUCGAGUUCGAGUCCUACUUAUUUGAGAGAGCAAUAUCAAAGGAUGUCGAGCUCUCAGUUGUCAAAGGGGUUUUUUUUUUUUUUUUUGGAGAUAAGUAGCAUGUUACUCACUUCGUUUAUUACAUUUAGAAAUAAAUUUAGCUGAAUAUGUGAAUCAACGAGAAUUCGAACUCAAAACCUCAUAUACCAAUCACCAAGUCUUUUGCUGUUUGCGCUAGCUAGGAACGGUCGGUUUUAAAGUUUUAAAAAAAAAGUGACGAUAAAGUUUUGUUAUAUGUUAGUAGGCACAAACCUGCAUGUCUAAGACACUGGUUGAAAGUCAGAAAGUUAUCUAAAAAUAAUUUAUUUGGUAUAAAGAUUUGUAGCCAGAUUGUAAAAGAAAAUUUUAUUUUUUAUUUCUUGAAAAAUAUUGAUAUUCAUAAUUUUAUAGAAUAAUAUAUUUCACUUACAAUAUGAUUUAUCUUAUUUAAUUAGAAAAUGACUUGAAGGUCGAAUACCAUAUCUAGUUCUAAACAUUUGAUUAUUUUUUUGUUGUCUACUAAAUAUACAAGUUUUACAAAAGAACCCAUAAAGAUAUAACGAAUAAGAUAUCCACGCUUCAACUAAGUUUUCGAGCUUGAUGGAUUCCAUUAGUUUUGUCGUGUUAUUUGGGCUAUUAUGGUUUAAAGCUGACUUAUUAAUUAUAUUUUGAUUUCAUUUAUAUAAAACACAACUAAUAGUUUAUUUUCUUUGCCCCCUCUCUCUUACUCUCUAUCUAUCUAGAUGAAUGGGGUCAACAACAUCUAGGGGGACAUUGUAUCAAAUGUCCUAAUCACUUUAGAUGCACCUCUCCUUCCAUCUCCCUUGUCUUAAAACCCCACAAAAGAUUCUGAGGUCCUUACACUAUCUAUAGUCCCUUGUUUUACUCUUGGGUGCCUGAUGGGAAAGAGGAGACAGUUGUGGGGUCAUAACUCAUGUGUAACAACAACACACAUAUACUGCUCACUACAAAAAAGUGGUUGGAUUAAUUAGGUAAGAGAAAAAAAUUCAAAAAAAAAAAAAGGAGAGGAUAAUGAAGCCAAAGCAGGAGGAGCAUUAACACAAAAGCCACCAAAAUAAGCACUGCACCCAGAAAUGCUUUUCUCUUCUUUUCUUUUUUUUUUUUUUAAUGGUGUGGGGUCCUUUUCAAAGCACAAAUGGGAUGCAUGCAUUGCAUUGCUUGCACAUUCCCCUCUUUGUAACUUUAUUUGUGUGUGUGUGUGUGUGUGUGUGUGAUUAAAGGAGCCAGUGAUGAGAUCAGAGCCUUCAAUGCCAAAGUUGUCUUUAUGGGGGGGUCACUACAGGUUGCUUAAGGCUGAAAAGAGCUUUGUUUUCAUUCCUUGCUUUUGCUUUUGCUUUUCUCAAUCUCUCUCUUUCUUUUCACACUUUGUUUACAAGCAUAAUUAAGCUACUACAUAAAUCAACUUACUUUGUUCUGAGUGAUAAUUGAUAAGUAGGAGAUUUGAGGAGUUACUUAACUGAUGUGGUUAUAACUUUUGUUGAGGGGCCUCAACAAUAAGAGAAAAAGAGUUUCUAUUAAUAAUUAGGACUUAAAAGCUUAAUUUGUCAGUUUAUUAUUGGUUUGGUGCUGAUGACAUGAUGAUUUUGAGGAUGAAAAGUACUUCCCUGUUCUAGUUAACAUGAUUUUGUAGAUGAAAAGUACUUCCAUGUUCUAGUUCUAGUUCACUAAUAAAAUACCUUUAACAGCUUCUUGUUAUAGCUAAAAGCGAAAGCCUCUAACUGAAGCUUCUAGUUUUAGCUCCUUGAGCUAGCUUUAGCUUUGCCGUAUUGUCAGUGUUAAAUGUAAAAGUAUUUAAAAAUCGUUCUCAAUUAGCUUAAAUUUUUAAAGUGCAGCGGUUGUUUAACAUGAUAUGAAAAUAGAAGAUUUUGAGUUCAAAUUACGCCAAGCUCCUAGCAUCAUUAAUUUUCUCCCAUUUAAUUUAAAGCUCAAGUCACGAGUCUAACAAAAGAGUUUUACAUGAGAAAAAAUAUUAAAUGUAAAAAUAUUUAAAACACAAGUUAAAUUUUAGACUACAACGGUUGUUUAACAUAAGAUUUUAGUUUUCGCUAUAGAUAAUAAUUUGUAUAAGCAUCACUAAAGAACAAAAAGGCAAAUCUCUAUAUUUUUCACCAAACUUCUUUUUUUUCAAAAUUAAUUAAUCCCGAGACAUUUCCUGUCAUAUUGAUCUGUUAGGUAGCACGCUACCCGCUUCGCUUAUUUUAUUUUAUUAACAAAUAAAUUUAGCUGGAAAUGUGAAUCAACUAGGAUUCGAACUUGGGAUCUCGGAUACCAACCACCAAGCCCUUUGCCACUUGCUCUAGGGACAGUCAGUACGUAUUAUUUCAUUGUUAUCUCUUCAUCCAUUGCUGUAGCAUUUUCUUAGCGGGUCAGAAUGAAUUCGAAAUGAGUUAAAUUUUAUUUUUUAUUUCCACUUAUCUUUAUUUGAUAAUUUUUUCAUAAAUCAGGACAGAUCAAAAGAAGAAGAAUAUUUCAUCCCCGCUCUAUUUUUUAGUUGAUUAGGAUAGAUUCGAAGCGAAUUAUUAUUUUUUAUUUUUUACUUUCACUUACCACCUGUUCUGAUAACAUAAUGUUGGUGGGUUUUAUUUCAUAAAUAAAUGACAUGAGAGUACAUAAAGAAGGUAAAUGCUUUACAAUGUCUUUUUUUAUUUUUAAUUUUUUUUAAAAAAUAUUUUGGAAGGGAGAGUGUAAUUUGCAUGGAUCAAGUAACAUCAAAUGCACCGACCUAUUACUCACUACAUUGAGCUUUUUUUUUUUUUUUUUUUUUUUUUUUUUUCCUUCUUUCCUGUUGCUUGAUUUGAUUGGUCAUUUCGUGUAGUCAUAUAUACAUAUAUAUUGCCUAGACAAAUUAUUACCUACCUACUACUUAUAUGAAUCAUAUGGAAUAGAUGUUCCCAUGUUUGUAUCACAUCAAACACUUAUUUUUGGCAAAAAAGUACCUUUCCCCUUUAAACAUAUCGUAUGGAAACUAAACAUAUCGUAUGGAAUCUUUGUCAGAUUCUAAAUUUUGAUUAUACUAUUUCAUCUUCUGAUUGUACUAUUUAACAAGUAAAAAAUUUUGAUUUUGUUACUUUAUCUAUUAAUGCAAUUCUAUUUGAGCUCUUUGAUGGUUAUUUUGUUACAUUACGAUCCAUUAAAUUAAACGCCACGCCCAAAUUAUAAAUUAUGAGAUUAAAAAUCAAAGUUUAAAAUUCGUAAUCGACCUAAGUUCCACACAUUUUCACCUAUUCAAACAAUUUGAGUUAAAGUAGGGUUUGGUGUGGUGGAUAAGGGCUUCUGGGCUACGCGAGAUCGAGCUCGGGCGCAAUCUCAGCCCAACAUGCAAAUUCGGGCUCGAGACCUCGACCAAAAACUUCGGGUACAACCAAAUUGGGUGCAGGCCCAACCCACAGAAAAAAUGGAGAGCAAAUCCAAGUAGGUUUAGAAGUCGAGCCCGAGAAUCUGUUUGACUUCGCUUCUGCUUUAAGCUAUAGCUGUUACAAGUACACCGUUAGAAGUUUCUGCCAUAGCGGGAAACAAAAAUUGAGAUUUCGAGACCCAAAAGUAAAAGCCUCACUCUGAAACUUCUGAUUCGGUUAAAGCUGCUGAGAAACAACACUCUGUCAUACACCAUUAAACCCGUAAGUAACUACAGAACAGUUGGAGACAGUAAAGUCCAACGUAUAAAAUUAUUAAGUUGCGAAUUGAAGUACAAGUACAAUGAACAGUAUAUAAGAACAUGGGGAUGCUUCAGUGUAUGCAAUUUUCAACCAAAUAAUCUAUUGUAGCCUAUCAAACCAAAACAAAUUAGCUCACAAGAAAAUUUACAUAUGCUGGUUAAUACAUGAAAAAAGAAUCAGAAUAGAUAAUCUUUGAGAAAUCUAGAACAGUUCCAAAAUUCACAUUAUUAUUAUGUGCCAUCUACAAUUGCAUCUGAAUAAUGUACUAUGAGAAACAUCUGCACCUAUUCCACCAUAACAAAGAUAAUUACAGUUGAUUUACACUCAGAAUCACCUAUGAUUACCAAAGAGAAUGUUAAAUUUGGUACCUUGAUCAAUGAGGUUGAUAGAACAUUAACAUUUAAUGAACAUCACCCCAGGUUCUGACCCCAUUAGCACGAAAUGCAGAUAGCAGAGAAUGCGCAUUCAUCCAGCUGUUCCAGCAUCCCUGAUGAUACCCAAGAUAGUACAAAUAAGUAGGGUCAUAUAUCCAAUACGCGGUUUGUGUAUUUUGAAAUCCUGCGCCGUAUGCAUAACCGGGAUAACCGAAGCUGUUCAUCAUGCGAACGCCAUAUCGACGGCUAGGAGAAGCAUCUCCUCCUGCGAGACCGCCUGCAUAGUUAUUGUUUCUGCUGCUGUUGUUAUUGUUGUGAGCUUUGCGGAACGCUCUUUUAACUUCGAUAAUCUUGUCCCUCAGCUUAUAAAACUGACUCCGCGGUACUCCCUCGACGGUCUCCGCGGUGUCGAAUACGACAAAGCCGAAACCUCUAGGGAGUUUCCGAGCAUGAUCAUACAUCAGUACAGCAUCAAUAAUAGUGCCAAAAUGGGCGAAGAAGCUCUUGAACUCCUCGGUUGUUAUGUCGGGUGGCAAACCGCCGACAAAAAUCUUGUUAGGUAUAUAAACGGUCUCAUUCUGGUCGCCGUUAAUGUUGUUGUUUGCACAACCACGGUAUUGAGAUUGAGCUUGGAUCGGCCGAUGAUCGGUGAAUUCAUGGUGCUUGGAUGUAGAUGGAUUUGCAUCAAGCAAGAGAAGCAUAAUGGAAAUGUUAGCAUAUAAAUGCACCAUAAAAUGUAAAUGAUAAUCAACUAUCGAAAAAAAAAAAAAAAAAACAACCUACAAAUAAGAAAGCAAAGAAAAAACUGUGCACCAUAAUAAACAGAGAUCUUCUUCUUUUUUUUUACCAAAUUAAUAUAAAUGUCAGUUAAUAAUUUUCCACAGAUUUUAUAAGGAAAACAUAUUAACAAGUUAAUACACAUCCAUAAUUAAUCCUCAUAGUAAUUAACUAAUAACAUUUUUAGUAGUAAACUGAUUAACUUGUUGACUGAAUACCUAACAGAUUGACUAAUAAAUUAAUUAGCUCAUUAAAUUAACGAACUAAUAUAUUAGCAUAUUAACUUGUUGUUCAUAGUAGACAAAGUAAUUAUCUAAUUUAUAUACUUCUCUACCAAAUGGUGUUUUACACAUGUUCAUAAGUAAAAAAAAACUAAUUAGCUAAUUAGUAUAAAUUAAUAAUUUGAUACUAGUUAAUGAGGCAAAGUACUUUUAUCUUAGAACUAUAAACACUCACUAUUCCCAUUAUUCUAUCCUAACUAUCCAAAAUCACCCAAUUCUCAGUCAUACAAAAAAUCUAGGAAUACGCGGGAGUAACUUAUUCUCAAACCAAACGGUACCGAUACCAUAGUAAAGCCUCUGAAACAACGACAGCUUGUGCUUAAGAGUUAAGGGCACAUCUGAGGUCGCGACAUAUGAUUACAUGUACUUUAGAUUCCUUCGACUCUUUCGCUGCAUUUGGUUUGGGGAUAAUUUGCUUACGGUGUAAAAAUAUUUGAGUGAUUCUCGAUUUCAGAAGCGUUGAAUAUUAUAUUAAAAACGCUGUUCUCUGGCAGCUUAAAUUUUUGGAGAAUAACAGUUGUUUUAUUUAAUUUAACAGGAAGGAAAACACCUCCAUUCAAAAUGAUUCUUAAACUACCAAUUUAUACAAUUAAUAAGAUUAUCUUUCUCGAUAUCAUUUGCUCGAGAAAGAUACUUCUCGCUGCAAAGCGCGGAUUUCUUUCGCUAGUCCUAAAAUUCAUUUUCUUUUCGUUUUUUUCCGAACUAAUCUGUAAAUUCAAACCCCCCUAAAAAAAAAAGGAAAACUAAUGAUUUUGGCGAAAUAAACUGAGAAUGUUACCAAAUUGAUUGAUAAUUUUACCAAAUUUAAAAAUUUAAAACUACGGUAUGACAAAUACAACUAGAUUAAUUAAUUGUUGAUAUCUAAUCAAGCAAUAAAAUCCAGCAAAAAUUUUUAACUUAAUUAGCCAGAAAAAUCCGAAUAAUAAAUUAUAACAAUUAAAAGCUCUUACCUUCCUCGAAUUCUUCAACAUCGAAGGACGGCGAGACGACGACGACGACGACGAAGGAUUCAUCUCUCCAAAACCCUAAUUCCCCAAAAGAUUUGUUUUUAAAAAAUUAGAGAUAAGAGAUAAACAUCUAAACAUAUACUCGAUCCAAGAUUUAGAAAAGAUACGAAAAGAUUUGAACGGCGGAGGAGACGAAACCCGCCGCCGUGCCGCGGCGGAGCGCCGUCGCGUCGCCGGCGAGUGUAACGACGCGGGCCACUUAGUUUAAAAAUAGAAACCGAAGGGUUAAAAUGUAAUUUGAAGCUCUGUGCGAAAAUGUCGGAAAACACCCUCAAAUACAACAUAUUUGAUAUUAAACCCCCCCCCCGGCCACUUUAAUUGUUUGAUAAAAUUGUACCGAGUUUAAUUGGACUGUGAAUCAUUUUGAAGCAGCAAUCCAAUCUUUUAAAACUUUAAUUUACUAUCUAAUAUUUUUUAAAUUUAUUUUAUUUGAGUCAGUCAAUGAUAAUUUGAUUUUAAAUUUUAAAUUUUAAACACAAUUUUCGUAACUAUAAAUUUAUUACAAUAAAUAAUUGGUUUAGAUUUUAAAGUUAAAAUAAAAUAUUAUUAAUUGGCUUAAAUAAAAUAAAUUAAAAAAUUGGAUAGAAAAAUUUAAAUUUUAAAAGAUUGAUUAGCAAAUUCAAAAUGGUCUAUAACUUAGAUAAGCUCUAUACGUGUUUAGAACAUUAUGAAAUAGUGCCCUAAGUUAUUUCUCUUUUAUUUUUUUUAUAGAGAUCUCUUAAACUGUUAAUUUUUAGUAAAAAAUUUUAGAUACGUAUCCAAUUCAUUAGUAAUUUUAUCAAAUUUGAUAAAUAAAACUAAGUCAAUUAAUAAUUAAUUAAUAUCAGAUAAAUUUAUUUUUAAUGGCUGAUUCACGAAACUGGGCCUUGGGCCAUCGUAUAACAUUCGUGGGCCGUGCUAUCUCUUUCUUUCUUUCAAAUUAUUAUUAUUAUUAUUAUUAUUAUUUAUUAUUAUUAGUAUUAUUAUUAUUAUUAUUAUUAUUAUUAUUAUUAUUAUUAUUAUUUGGAGAGGCUAAAAUAUAGAUAAUUCUCUUGAAUCAUACNACAAACCCCCUAAACCUAAAAAAGAAAAAAACCCUAAUCGAACCAAAUUACACCUAGAUUACUUAUACUGAUACAUAAAUCAGUAAAAAUUCACAAGGGGAUUAGGAUUUAGAGAUAGAGAUAGAAUUAGAGAUUAGAUUUAACAGAUUCGUUUUUAAAAAAUUAGAGAUAAGAGAUAAACAUCGAAACAUAUACUCGAUCCAACAUUUAGAAAAGAUACGAAAAGAUUUAAAAGGCGGAGGAGACGAAACCCUCGCCGCCGUGCGCCGCGGCGGAGCACCGCCGCAUCGCCGGCGAGUGUAACGACGCGGCUAGGGAUGUCAAUGGGUAUGGAUACCCGAAAUAUUAUCCAAAUUCGAGCCCGAACGGGGCGGGUUUAUCGGGAGUUAAACGGGUAUGGAUUCGGUUAAGAAUAUAAAAAAUAAAAAUCUGACGGAUAUGGAUACGGGUAUGGAUUUUGUUACCCGACCAGAGCCCGAACCAGAAUCCAAAUAAAUUAUAUAUAUACAUAAUUUAUUUUUAUUUAUUUAUAUAAUAUAUAAAAUAUUUAAUAAUUUUUAUUUUUUAGAUUUUUAUUCAACGGUAUGAAUUUUUAAAAUCCGUCGGGUUCGAGUCAGGAUUCGGGUUUCGGGUUUUUGGCUGAGUACGGAUAUGGGUAUUGAUUUUUAAAACUCGCCAGGUUCAUGUCCGAAUACGGAUUUUAAUUUAAUUUUCGAGUUCGGAUUCAGAUUUUUAAAAUCCAAUCCAAAUCCGACCCGUUUACAUCCCUAGACACAUAGUUUAAAAGUAGAAACCGAAGGUUUAAAAAGUAAUUUGAAGCUCUGUGCGAAAAUGUCGGAAAACACCCUCAUAUACAACGGAUUUGAUCUAUCCCCCUCAACUUUAAUUGUUUGAUAAAAUUGUACCGAGUUUAUUUGCACUAUGAAUCAUUUUGAAUCAGCUAUCCAAUCUUUUAAAACUUUAAUUUACUAUCUAAUAUUUUUUAAAUUUAUUUUAUUUCAGUCAGUCAAUGAUAAUUUGAUUUCAAAUUUUAAAUUUAAACAUAAUUUUCGUAACUAUAAAUUUAUUACAAUAAAUAAUUGGUUUAGAUUUUAAAGUUAAAAUAAAAUAUUAUUAAUUGGCUUAAAUAAAAUAAAUUAAAAAAUUGGAUAGGAAAAUUAAAAUUUUAAAAGAUUGAUUAGCAAAUUCAAAAUGGUUUAUAACUCAGAUAAGUUUUGUAUGUCUUUAGAACAUUAUGAAAUAGUGCCCUAAGUUAUUUCACUUUUAUUUUUUUUUAUAGAGAUCUCUUAAACUGCUAAUUUUUAGUAAAAAAUUUUAGAUAGGUAUCCAAUUCAUUAGUAAUUUUAUCAAAUUUGAUAAAUAAAUCUAAGUCAAUUAAUAAUUAAUUAAUAUCAGAUAAAUUUAUUUUUAAUGGCUGAUUCACGAAACUGGGCCUUGGGCCAUCGUAUAACAUUCGUGGGCCGUGCUAUUAUUUAUUAUUAUUAUUAUUAUUAUUAUUAUUAUUAUUUGGAGCGAGUUUAAAAUAUAGAUAAUCUCAUUGAAUCAUACACUUCUCAUUCCUAAAAUACACAAAAAAAAAAAAAAAAAAUCCUCAGUUUUUGUGUUUUUAUGUUUAACCUCUUUUAUCUUUUUUUUUUUCUAUGUAAUGUUGAAUAUGCAAAAUAGAAACACCAUUUUCUUAUAAUUUAAGGCUUUAAGCUUGUGAAAUUUUUUUUUUCACAUUCUUUAUGAUUACUUUAUUUAAUUGUUCUUUGAUUUAAUUCAAAUUUAUUGUUUGAACUAUCAAGAAAUCUAAAAUUCAAAUAUAAGGAGAAGUGUUGAAUAUAUAAAGUAGAAAAGGAAUUAUAUUUAUAAGCUGCUUAAGAGCUUAGAAAAGGAUGUGAAUAAAAAAUCAUUUUAAAUAAAUAAGAAAUAUGAAUAAAAUUAAUUAAUCAAUUAAUUAAAUUCUGUGACAAUGAUAUAUUUUGGAUUCAUAUCUUGGUUUUACAUUGGAUUAGUAUCCAAUUGGGUUAUUUUUUUUAUUUAUUGCGCAAAUCCCAACACCGAGAACAUGCAACAACAAACACUUUAACAUACACUAAUAGGGGAUUAAGUAGUAAUUAAUUAUUUAAUUAAUUUAGUUUUGCAUUACUUAAUUUCCAUGUGAUCUUACGCAUGCAUUAGUAACAUCUUGGUUAACGAGAAAUGACCACCUAAAAGUAUGCAACAAAAAUAAGGUAUUAGUUAAUAAAAAAAAAAAUUAUGCAUAAAAUUUAUCUGAAUUAUAAAUUAUUUUGAAUCGAUUACUCAAUUUUUCUAAAUUUCGAUUUUACUUUCCAAUUUUCUAUUCAUUUGAUUUGAAUCAAUUAACUUAUUUUGACUUUAAAAUUUAAGCUAAUUAUUUAUCUUAAUAAAUUUAUGGUUGCGAAAAUUAUAUGAACUAUACUAAUUAAAUCUGCCACGAUAAACAAUGCAUUUAAAUUUUUGACUGAUUCAAAUCAAAUAAAGUAAAAAGUUGGAUAUAAAAUCGAAAGUUUAAAAGAUUGAGUAGGUAAAUCAAAUUGAUUCAUAGUUUAGGUCAGCUCUGUACAUUUUUACUAAAAAAAACUACAACAUAAAAAAAAAAAAUUGUGUUUUUUUGGGGCAAAAUUUGUAGGUAGUCCUAAAACUUUUGAUGAAUUACACACACGGUACACUUUAUCUUUUACUUGUAAAAACCCGCAAAACAGUUGAUUACUCUAAAAAUUUUAAAUUUUUUGUUAUGUAUUUAACAAUAGACUCAGGCUCUCUUACUACGAUAUCAUGUUAUUAAGCAACUAAUUAUUCAACAGGAUUAUAUAUUCAACAGGAUUAGCACCUUAAUUAUGUCUCCUCUGUAUAAAAUUUUCAUUUAAAAUCUCCACCAUCUACUUUGAGUAUAACAACAAAUUUAGGAAUUCCGUUGCAAGAAAAUAUAUAUGACAAAAAGGAAACAUUGCUAGAGAAUAGGUGAAAAGUGAUUAAUCAAAAGUUUAAUUAAGGACUAUAUUAUAUUUACAUCCCUUUUUUGCAAAGAGAAUAUGAUAUAAGAUUAGGGUUGUUAAUUAAUUAUCCCACCUUAAUUAUUUUUUAUCCCUGUUGGUGUGCGGAAUCUUUGUUGUAUUCCUAGGAAAGAUCCUUAAAAUAGGAAAUGCACCAUUCAUUGGGUUUCCCCAAACUUAACUUGCAUCUUGCAUUUUUUUUUUUUAAUGGUUAAUUGCAUACAACUCCCUAUAAACAUGACGAAUUAUAAAUAUAUCGCUACAAAAUUCAACUUUCUUAGGUUAUUCCUGUAAAAGUUCUAAUAUUUUUAGUCCCUGCUGUUAGGAUCCGCCAGAAAAAAUUAAUUAAUCAUAAUUAAAAUACUUAACCCUGGUUAGUUAAUGAGGUAAAUUGAUAUUUUACCCCUCUUAUUAUAAUACAUUUUUCUCUUAAUUAAAACCCUAGCAAUGAAAACUCUUUUCUUCUUCCUCUUCCUCUUCCUCUUCCUUUCUCCCUUCCAUGCCAGGUUCGAAUCCAUAACUAGAAUUUCUCCGUCCUCAUUCAUAUAAGACGCGUGUUGUUUGUCCAUAUCGAACGUGUGUUGCUUUCUUAUUCAAUUUUCUCUAUAAUUUUUUUUUAUUUUGCUUAAAAAAAAGCUUUAGGAACAAAGGAGUGAGAGAAGAAAUUAUAAUAAUGGUGGAUUGGGUUGGGUUUUAAAGAAAAAGAAGAUAAUCAUUGAAAAUUUUGAAAGUGUGCCUACGGACUCAUGACCUGCAUAUUUGAUUAAAAAAGAAAAAAAAAACUUAAUUUAUGUGGGGAAAGAUGUGGCCUGCUUAUAAAACUUUGGAAAUAAAACUUAUAAUUGGGCUAGAAUGUUAUCAGCAGCAAAUAGGUUCUGUUGCCAUUCAUUUAUUUUCAAUAAUAGAGUUUCUAAAUCAAACAAUCGGUAUUGUUGAAUAUGAUCUAUAUCACUUAAAGUAUCUAACAAUUAAAUUUAGCAGACUCGCAAACAACGUUUGAUCACCAGCCCUAAUUUUGAGAUGUGAUGGUUAGGGAUGUCAAUGGGUUGAGUUUGGGUCGGGUUUUCAAAAAGACGAAUCCGAACCCGAAAACUAAAUUAAAACUCGUACCCGGACCCGAACCCAGCGGGUUUUAAAAACCCAUACACAUAUAUAUCCGUCCUAGACCAAAAACCCGAAACCCAAACCCGUAUCCAAACCCGGUGGGUUUUAAAAAUCCAUACCAUUGGAUAAAGAUAUAUGAAUAAAAAUUAUUGAGUAUUUUAUAUAUUAUAUAAAUAAAUAAAAAUAAAUUUUAUAUAUAUAUAUAUAUAUAUAUAUACUGAUAGUACCGUACCAUAAUACUAUAAAGUUUAUUGGGCGUUCCCGGGUUCGGGUUCAUGUCGGAUUUGGAUUUGAGUCGAGUAAAUACAAAAUCCCAUACCUUGUAUUUAUACUUCGCCGGACUUUUUAUUUUUUUUAUAACUCCACCCUAACCGAUCCCAUACCUAUUACGUUAGAUAAAUGUCACCCUCCGUUUAGAUCGGAUUCGGAUAAUAUGUUCGGAAUAUUGGCAUCCCUUAGAGGUGGUAAGAUAAAGUGGGGGGCGCGGUGAUGAGUGGGGGUGGUGUUGUUGGUGCAUUUGAAGACAGGUGUCGCCUUCAAAGCGGCGACCGUGACGCGGCGCAGGUUCGUUUUAUCCUCCCUCUCUCCGUGGGCACCCAACCCCUCGUGUUCCCCACCGGGAAACCGAACCACCCCCACCGCCCCGUACGUAACACACACACUCUCUCUCUCCCCCUCUUAAAUUAAAUUUUAUAUUAAAUCUAAAUUAAACUCUCUCAUUAAAUAUAUAAUAAAAUUUAAUUAAUGGCCUACAUUUCAUUGUUAUAAAUUACCAGUCCACAAUAAAUGAGAGUCCGAUUUAUUUCCCAUGGAGGGCUCAAAGUGAUACAUCUCAAAAUUAAUACCAAUAAUUUAAAAAGUGAAGAGCACGAAUCAAAUACGUAUCAGGCUUAGUUUAGAAUGACGGUGUUUGAAAAAAAAUGUGGCUUUGCUGAAUAGCUUUUUAAUGAGAUUUUGUUAAAACCGUUAGCUGGAUCAUAUGUUCAUUUCGCGUUCAAAUUGUAUGAGACUGUUCUAAUUUGAACAUUUUUUUGUUGGAAUCUCAGUACCGUAUUGAACAAUAAAUUUAGACCAUACUACUAUUUUAUAAAAAAAUUUGAUCUUACAAGCCGCUCAAUUCGGAGCGGAUAAAGUCGGGAGCAACAUCAAAACGGAUCCAUUUACGUGCCAAACAACGAUGCCACGUGGACGAAGAGCAUUGGGUCUCGAACCGGGCGGAGACGUCGCAAUCAAUCUCGGCCGUCGGAUUCCCCCGAAAGCAACCCAUGGUGAUGAUGAUGAUGAUGAUGAUGAUGAUCACGACGCCCACCACCAAUAGGGCUCCGCAAUAUCUCGUGAGCUCCACAAAUCUUUUCCCUGCACCUGGUGUAUAUACAUGUGUAAUACACCACAACCUAAAAGUAAUAAAUUUUGGACAAAAAUUCGUUUAUUUGUAGACUACAAUGCAUCUAUUAAUCUAUAUAUUAAUUUUUAAUAGGAAAACUUCAAAAACCCUCCCGUAGUUUCACACUUUUUUAUUUUAGUAUCCUGUAGUUUAAAGUGUAUCAAGUUAGUACUCUGUGAUUUCGCACUUUCUCACUUUAGUACCAUGUGGUUUAAAGUAUAUCAAGUUAGUACUCUGUGGUUUAAAGCGUAUCAAGUUAGUAUUCUGUAGUUUUAUUUUUGUAUCAAGUUAAUACCCUGUGGUUUUAUUUUGGUAUCAAGUUAGUACACUGUGAUUUUAUUUUUCUCUUAAUAAAAUAUUAAACCACAAGAUACUAAAAUAAGAAAGUGCGAAACCGCAGGGUACUAAUUUGAUAUACUUUAAACCACAGGGUACUAAGAUGAGAAAGUGCGAAACCACAGGGUACUAAUUUGAUAUACUUUUAAACCACAGGAUAUUAAAGUGAGAAAGAGUGAACCACAAGGAGGAUAUUUGAAGUUUUUUCAUUUUAAAAUUUUAAUUAUUAAAAAUUAUUUGCGGUUCAUGAGGUGCACGAUUACACUGGGCGGAGGCAAUAAUUUUCUCCGCGAUAUUUUCUCUCUCCGGGUGCGGGUGGGUCGAGACCCGACCUAAUCCUAUUCGGAUCCGGACGAGGACCCCACCCGCAUUGAUUGCGAGGCUUCGGACUCGGCCGCAUAAUUUGUUUGGUGUUCCCACGGGAGAAAAUGUUCGCUGCACCUGGUCUAUACACGCUCUAUGAUAUGCAUGCAGUUGAAAAUAUAAUAGUUAUAACUAUAUAUAUUUUGUUUGAUUAAAAGUGGUAAAACGAGUAGUAUCAUAAAUAAAUAAUUUAUUUCGUUGCAUAUUGAAACUAAAGUUAAUUUGAAUGUAGUUCUAAAUAUUGCGGUUGAGCAUUCUUAAAAUUAGUUUCCAAAAUUUACGAUUUUGAUAUGUAAAUAGUUUAAAUGUAAUAGAACAGAUCUAAUAAAUUAGAAUUUUAUUUUAGAAUCUUAAUUAUAAAAUAUAGACAACAUAUGAGAUAUUCCGGUACGCUCGAAAUAAUUUCUUAGCACACAGCACAAUGCGUCCUAUACUAUGUGGUUAGGCCAUCGAGAUACGGAGAUAUACGGAGCAUUCAUAUCGUUCAUAAAUAUUUUAGGGGAUUUAUAUCAAGAUUCCAAUCAUAAUUAUUUAUAGUUGCAGCAGCGCUUCCACUUCUGAAAAUAAAAUGCUUAGGCUUGUUUGGCUUAAUUUUUAGUCCUAUCGAUCGAUAGCAAAAUCUAAAUCAAACGAGGUGCUUCGUUCGUGGACAAUGACUGCUUUUGUUCAUGGUAUGUUUUGAUGAUUUUCUGUAAGCAACCAAAUUUAGUAUAUUUUAUCACUAAAAUCCUGUACAGUAUGCUAACCUACCACACAGUUGGGCCAAAUAGACGCUUAGUUUAGAAGUUCAUCACUACAAAAGUUUUUUACUGUAUAUUUAUUAAAUAUCUGAAUCUUGAUUUUAAGAUUGUAGCAAAAUACCGACUUUCCCUAGCGCAAGUGGGAAAAAGGCUUGGUGGUUGGUAUCCGAGACCCAAGUUCGAAUCCUAGUUAAUUCACAUUUCCAGCUAAGUUUAUUUCUAAAUGAAAUAAACGAAGCGGGUAGCAUGCAACCUUUCUCUCUCAAAAAAAAGAAGAAGAUUGUAACAAAAUUCAACGUCUAUAAGGCUAAAAGUUAUAAUACUUUCUUUUCUUAUUUUCAUGACUUAUUCGUAAGUUUCGUCAGUAGGCACUGUCAGAAUAGUUAAUGAGAAUUUCUUUAGUUUCCAGUAAGUUGCGAGCUUAGGUACCCAAUAAUAAACACACAAAUGCUCAAACCCCUGGCUUCUUAGAUCGACUAUCUAAAUUUAUUUCUAUAUUGAAAAAAAAAAAAAGUUAGAAACUAAGUUGAGGUUAUAGCAUGGUCCAUUUACUUUUACCUAAAAUAUGGUGCCUUAAUUUGCUUUUAAAAUCCUCUAGCUUUUUACCAAAAAAUGCAUGUGGUGGAACCCAAACUCUCCCCUAACAGUCCAAAUUCUCCAACCUUCUAGUAAAGCAACCCUUCAACUUUACCUGCACCCACCCACCACCCUCCAAAUCCCCUCUCUCUCUCUCUCUCUCUCUCUCUCUCUCUAGAAAUAUAUGUGUAUAUUUCUCUUAGAUAUAUUCAUAUAUAUAAAAAAACAACAAUAUUUACUCAAAUGGCAAGCUUAAUGUUUUUUUUUUAAUGUUUGUUUUUAAAAUAUAUUCUUAUCCAUCUUACUAUAAAUAAGAGUUAAAUCUAAGAUGUCCUACGUCGCAUAUCAGCAAAUAUACUAAUAAAAUUGUGUAAGAUUGAUUAGAUAUAAGUUCUAUAGUAUAUAAAAUAUUUAUUAUAUAUAUAUGUAGAAGAUAUUUUUUUUCUUUCUCUCUCCCUCUUCCUUGUUCUUAUUCAUUCGUGCCCCUCCAUGUGCAAGCUUGCACACCCCAAUGUGAACAGCAACACCCAACAUUCUCAAAGAUAACAAGAUAUGAAGCAAAGUAUACAAGCACUACACACACAUGUGGAUGGUUAUAUAAAUAUAUAAUAUGUGUGGAGCCAUUGAAAAUCCCAACUCAACCACUGCUUUAUUUUAAAUGGAGCCUCGUGCUCCCCAAAUAAAGCCACGGGGCCUUCACCUCAUCCUUUUCCUAUGCAUGAUUAGAUGAAGCUACCACACCCAUGCACCCAAUACACAACUCUUUAGUUGUAGUACUUGUAUGCAAGUACACAUAUGUACAUACAUACAUACAUAUAUAAGUUAAAAAUACACCUAUAUUGCUAAAUGUAUUCAUGCAUGAGUCAAAGAUAAUACGUACGUAAUUUAUAUUUUAUACAAUACCAAAUUGUAUUGAAAAAAAAGAAAGGGGGAAAGAGAGUGGGUUUAACUGUUUAAGUCGAGUCAAAGAUUUGGUGCGUGCAUGUCACAUGGCAUUGCAUUAAUUAUUGUCUAUGCAUCCACACUAACAACUUGCAUAAAUAUACAUAAAAUUAUAUAUAUGCACUUUAUAUUUGAUGUAUAUCUUACACUAUAUAUAAAAUUACAAUAUUACAAUUACUAUAUAACAAAGCGGUUAUUAUUCUAUAAAACAAAGUAUUAAUUAAAAAAUUUCUUACGAAUUUAUAACCAAUACCCGUAAGGCUAGAUCUAUAUAAGUACAUACAAAGUUUUCUAAUUAGUUAAACUUUUUGUUUUGAGAAUUGUUAAUUAUAUUCCUCAAUUUUGGGGCAAACAUAGCAAAUUUAAAUUUUUUUGCAUGAUUUUUAUUUUUUUCUCUAUAGCAAUAAAAUUUGUUCUAUAUUUUUUUUUUACUUUCACGUUUACCAUCCUAUCCUAAUGCAUAUAAAAUAAACCAUAUAUCAGUAAGUUCACAAAUAGAAAAAAAAGGUACAAGUUAAGAGUGUUUUUUUAUUAUUAUUAUUUUUUUGGAAGUUGCUUUAUGGAAUAAGUUAUUCUUUUCUUGACUCUAGCAACUAAUAUUUUCUUAGCUUAAGACAUGAAUAAGAUUUUGCCCUUUUCUCUUUUUUUUUUGGCAUUCCUAAAAAUUGCAAAGGUGUCGGCAUGCCCAAAACAAGGAGAUAUUAGUGCAUGAACCUGGUCCACCACAUUAUUCAUGAUUUUUUAUUUAAUUUGUUUGUUCGACAGAAACUUCUUUUCUUAAACAUACAAACAUAUGGAUCGAGCCUUCAGCCUCAGAGGCGACAACUCGGAUAGUAAUCAUUGCGUUAGAAAAGUGAUUAAUGCUACUCAUAACUCAACAAUACAUAAUCUAAAAUAAUAGUUUAAUUUUGUGAUUUAUAGGAUCGAAAACUUAGAAAAGCUUAUUCCUUCAAGAAUAGAAAAGGGGAAAGGUUGUAAUUUGGUUGGCAAAUUGUGUUUUAUUUCACAGUUAAAUUAUUUGAAUCUACUUAAAAACUAUAUAUGUUUAAGUAUUUAUGACUUAAUUUAAAUUUUUUUAAAAAAAUUGUAGAAAAAUUGUGUCAUGUCAUGCUAUUUUUUGUUUAAGAUACUCAUGUUGUAUUUGUCUAGGACUUUAAUUUUGGAUCAUGCAAUGGCGUUAUAUUUGGAAUUACUAUCCCAAAAUAUAGCUUGAAAUUAACUUACUAUAUAUCUUCAUAAUAUAGGUUGAAACAUUACUUUAACUAUUUGGUUUCCAACCAAAAUAGAAAAUAUAUAAAGUGGAUCACAAUUUCCACCUUGGAAAUGUGAUUUGAUUUCGAACUUUUAAUCAAGAGUUAAAAUUGAAGGACUAUGCGAUUACCGCUUUAUUAAGGUAAAAUAAAAUCCGUAGCAUUAAUUAUUCUAUUGGAUCAAAUUGUUGCAAUGACAAUCUAUUGAAGCCCAAAACUUUUCUACUUAUAUUUGCCAUAUGGUGCUAAAUAUCUAUAGUUUAUUACUCUCACUAUUUAGAGCAGCUGACAUAUAUCUAUUUUUCGACUAUUAUGAUUUAGAUUUGAUUUUUUACUUCAGAUAAGAUGUAUGAGUACAAAUAGUUGGCUGGCAUUUAUAAAGAAAAAAAAACUUUAAUUUGCCCUACUAUUAAUAGUGCAUUUUUACUUUGUAAUUCUGUGGUUCAGAAAGAUACACUUAAUUAUAUCCUAUACUUUUAUUUCUAUUUUAACAAAAAUUUGUUGUCUAAUAGGAUUAUAAAAUAAAUUUUUUUUGAAGACCGUAGAAUGAUACUUCAUUCUUUUUUUUUUUUUUAUAAUGAAACAGAAAUAAAAGAAUAUGAUAGUUAAACGUAACUUUUGAAUCACAUGAUGGCAAAAUAAAAAUUUGCUAGGUAGUUAUGCGCGGCAUUUUGAACCACGAACCAACCGGCCAUAGCGCAAAUUGCAAAAGACUUGAUGGUUGGUAUUCGAGAUCACAAAUUCGAAGUCUAGCUGAUUCACAUUUUCAACUAAGUUUUUUCUUAAUAAAAAUAAAUAAAAUAAGUAACAUGCUAUCUUUUUAAUUUUUAGAAAUAUUUUUUUGAACCAACACCUCUCUCCCCUCUCUCUCUCUCUCUAUAUAUAUAUAUAUAUAAAUAGGACUACUAUAUUCUUAUGAGUAUAGACAUAUUUAUACUCAUAAGUUUUUGGUUCUUAGAUGAAAAAAUGUACGGUUAGAAUGAUAGUGGUCCUUUAAGGUUGAAUGGUUAUGAGUACAGUACUCAAACACACACUCUCUCUCUCUCUCUCUGUAUAUAUAACAAAUUGGAAUAAAAAGGAAGAGGACCAAUGCAUGGUGGACCAGGUUCAUGCAAUAACUUGUCCCAAAAUAGAGAGCAAGGAACUAGUUCUCUCUCUCUCUCUCUCUCUCUCUCUCUAACAAGCAUCCUCUCCCAAAAGGCCAAAAACCACCCUGGUUUUCUGAGCUCAACACCCCCAACCCCCCAAACCCCCAAAACCCACCCCACUCUUCUUCCUCCUCCUCCCCCCACCACCACCAUCACAAAAAAUGCUCCCUCCUCCUCCUCCUCCUCCUCCCCAAGUCCAAUGAACCCAACUCCACCCACAAGCUAGCUAGACCUGGUGCACUGCCACACCAUGAACUCAGGUGGUGGAGCAGGGGUGGCCAUGGACUCUGGCAUGGUGGUGGUGGUGGUGGGGCCUCCUCCUCCUCCUCAUCCUCCUCCCCCUCCUUGGCCCCCUCACUGGGCCCUCCUCCAUUGUCCCCCUCCUCUGGCUUCCUCAAGCAUGGGAGGAGGGGGAGCAGUGUUGGGGGGUCAGAGGAGGCCCAGCUCAGGCUCUUGAAGAUGCCCAGAACCACUGAGCACAUGCUCUGCUUCUCCUCAUCAACCAAAGAUGACACCUUUCCUUACUACAACCACCACACACCACCACCACCACCCCCUUCUUCCACCCCAUCUUUUCUCACCAAUGCAGGUACUAGUCAUUGGAUCAGGAUCUUUUCAUGUCUUGCUUCUUCUCCUCCUCUUUUUUCCCACCCUCCCCCUUAAAAAAAAAAAAAAAAAGGUUUUUUUUUUUAAAAAAAAAUUAUUUUGUUUCAUUUUGGGGGUCUUGUCAAUAUAGAUGAUGGAGAGUAGUGGGAUGGAUCAUGGAUGUGGAUCUUAUUUUAUUUUUAAAGGUGUUUCUUUUCCUUUCACUAAUUAGUGGGGACAAAAAAGAUCAAAUAGGAGGAAAAGGGAGCAUAAAACACUAGUAUCCAAUGUUGUUCUUUUCUCCUCCCCCCCUCCUUUUUUUUUUUCUUUGCUUCUAUUAAGUCUUCAAGGAAAAUGCUAGCAAAAGUCCCUCCUUUUUCCCUUUUUUUAUUUUCGUGUGUGUGUUCUUAUUUCCUAAGUCUAACAAAUGAAAAAAGAAGACCCAAAUCAUGGUUUUGUGCAUCUUUGAUGGUUAGUUCCUUUACUUUCAUUCUUAUUAAGAAAACAAAAAAAAAAAAAGAGAGAGAGAAAAAAGUGGAACUUCUCAUGCUCUUCUCUCUUAUACUUUUUUCUCUCUUUUGUUUUAAUGGUUUAGGAUUGUUUUCUGGGAGCUCAAACACAAGCAUGAAUGGGGUAUUGGCAAGGGUGAGAGGGCCCUUCACUCCAUCUCAAUGGAUGGAGCUGGAGCACCAAGCUUUGAUCUACAAGUACAUUGUUGCAAAUGCACCCAUACCAAGUAGUCUCCUUAUCCCCAUUAGAAGGAGCCUCAACCCAUCUGGGUUCCCUCCAUUCUCUGCUCCAUCUUUUGGCUCAUCCACAUGUAAGGUUCUCUAUCUUUGUUUAUUUUAUCAUUUAUUAUUAUUAUUAUUAUGUGUCUUUAUAUCAAUUUUUGGGACAAAAUGCAAGUGGAAUUUUUUUUUUUUUUUAAGAAGCUUGUGAUAGUACAUUAGCUAUGUCAGUCUAAUAUAUUUAAUUCUUGUUGGAAAGUUUAAUGUGAGAAGUCCGGAAAAUUUGAACUGAGGAUCUCCUGCUCUAAUGCCAUGCGGAAUAUUCAUCUCUCUUUAAAAGCUUAAGUUUUUAGAGAACAGUGUUUUAGUCUUUUAUACACUCGGGAGUUUUCCCUUUUAUUGUCAUUUUGUGAGUUUGUGAGAUUUGGGUAUGUUGUAUUUUCCAUCUUCUAUAGUGAAAUCUCUAAUUCCUGUGGACAUAAAUCUGCAUGUUACCUCUCUCUAUUUGCUCUGUUUGUCCUUGGCCGACGAACGUUGUUCGAUCCGCGGUUGGCCAUAGCAGCUAUGAAUAACUAACAUACAAACACUCGCGCAUUAUCUAGUAGCCUAUUAUGGUAUCAUUGUGUUGCUUUGAGUAGUUUUACAUACCAAGCAAGUUUUUUUAUGGUUCAAAUGUGUCAUUGAUUUAGUCAAAGAAACAUCUGUUUGUUUGUUUUGUUUUUGUUUUAGUGGGGUGGGGAAAUUUCCAACUGGGUUUUCCCGGAAAUGCGGAUCCCGAGCCGGGGAGAUGCCGUCGGACGGACGGAAAGAAAUGGCGGUGCUCGAGGGACGCAGUCGCAGACCAAAAGUAUUGUGAGCGCCACAUGAACCGGGGCCGCCACCGUUCAAGAAAGCAUGUGGAAGGCCGCUCUGGCCACGCCGCCGCAAGACCAUCCCCAACUUCUUCACAAGCUGCUUCCUCAGCUGUCCUCUCUACUGCAGAGCAGCAGGCAAAGAGUUUGGGGCCGAGUACUACUGCUGAUCCUUGCCCUGCUCCGUUUAACAGGUAUUGCUUUUGAUCUUCUACAUCCUUUUAUAUUCAAGUUGUAACUUUGGAUCUUUGGUUGCGCGACUCUUCUUUUUUGUUGAAUCGACUACAAAGGUUAUUGGUUUUUUUUUUCGAAUGCGUGAGUAAUUGAAAUAACUCAAGUAGUAAUAUUAGAGGUUCGGUUACUACUAUCAAUUGUCAAAGUCGGAACAGAUAUUUAGUAAUGCACCAAGUAGAGCGUCACACUAUGUUAGUCUGAAAAGGUUCAGUCAAUAUUUACUUGUUCGUCAUCAUAAAUCACUUGACUAAGCCCUUCGUGCAUGUACUCUAUUAUUCCAACUGAGCUAAUUUGUGUGAUUUUAGACAUUGUCAGAGGUAAUAAAAGUGCUUUAUAAAGUCGCUAGGAGUUUAGAAAGUGGAGUACCCUAUGAUCAUAACAAGAUUUGCACGAGUUUACUAAAUUUGACUCAUCAUAGAUAUGCGAGAUUUGGUAAUCGUUGAACAUGUACUACCAUUACAAAUAGUUACAGCAGUAUAUCAUCCUAAACUUUAAGAAGGAAUCUAUGUGCGGAUGGAUACUUAUUGCCGUAGAGAAGUGGAUUAUCGUUCCACCUACACAUUCACAUGGUAUUUCAUCAAGUCGCAAAGAAUAGUAGAUUGUUAAUGAAGUUGCACCACUUGCUAUAAUAUUUAUGUAAAUUUUACUAUUCCUGAGUAUAUCGAGUUUCGUUGUUGUCCUCAAACUUUUAGAGCCUGUUUGAAUGCAUUAACAUCUUCGGUUUUUUUGGAUUAUUCUGAAACCGUCGUUAUGAAAAAUUAUGGCUAUAAGGGUGUCUGAAAUAGACUACGUCGAACUCGUCAGUUGCAGCUGCAAAAUAAAAUCUCCAUAAAGCACAAGUUUAUCACUUGAUAACUUCAAAAUCCAAAAUGGCUCGUAAGUCGGACAUUCGACGCCCCAAACCUUGGAAGUCCUUCUGUUAAAAGCAAAAAAUUUGUUGCCUGCUUCUAGUGCAUAUGUACAUCCAUGUGCGAUGAAUUUACCGACCCUUAGUCGUUCUCGUACUUUCGAUCCAUUCAUCUAAUUUCCGAGUAUAUAAAAGGCUGAGACUCAAUGGUUUGUAACAAAUUCAAUGCCAUUGUGUAAUCCUUUUAUGUUGUGAAAGUCCCACUUAUAAUUUUGUAAGUUUCUAUAUUUUCGAUACAAACAACACUAUUUAUUGGUUAACGGAAAACAUUACGUAUAUCUCUCUUUCGAUGUUAUGUUGAUGAACUAUGUUUUUGCAGGAUGUUGAUGGGCAAAGAAAAAGUAAAUGAUUAUGCUGCGGACUCCCAAAGGCUCUCUAUGCUUACUUCUAUGAGCCAAAAGCCCAUAGACUCUUCCUUUCCCAUCUCGAAGCAACACAAUCCCUUUGAGGAAGCCGCAUUCUCAGAUAACAUCAACUUCCUUCCUGCGCCCAAACUCAAUGAAAAUUCGCAAACUCACCCUCUUCGCCAUUUCUUUGAUGAUUGGCCCAAAAACCACUCUGAUAGUUCUUCUCUCACCUGGCACGAGGUUGAAGAAAUGCAAUGCGAAAGAACCCAACUUUCUAUAUCUAUCCCUAUGACCUCCUCCGACUUCUCGUCCUCGUCUUCUCCUACUCAUGAGAAGCUUACUCUUUCACCCCCUAGACUAUCUCGCGAGAGUGAGUUUAGUCAAAAGCAAGUAAAUUGGGUACCGAUUUCUUGGGAGUCUUCGAUAGGUGGACCUUUAGGAGAGGUGUUGAACAACACCAAUAGCACAAUACCAAAGGAUCAAAGCAAGAACUUGUCAUCAUCUUCGCUGAAUCUUUCGAUGGACGGGUGGGACUUAGAGUCGUCGCCAUCGGGAGUUCUUCAGAAGGCUAACUUCGGUUCGGUGUCUAGCAGCACCGGCAGUAGCCCGAGGCCGGAGAAUCCGAAGGCUUAUGAGUCUCAUAAGAGCAGCGGAAGCCUGUGCAACGAGAUACUCGGGUCAGGCCUUGCGAAUUCCCUGACUAUGCCUUCAUUUUAAGCUUCUAAAAGAGUUAUCUUCCAGUAGAAAAUAGUGAAAAGUGUUAUGUAUCAUGGUUUGUGGAGAGUGACUUUAGUUUUGCUUGCUAGUAAAAUUAUGGAGCAUUUAGUUUCAGAAACUUGAAUUUUUAUGUUUAUUUCCUUGGUUUUGUACUUUGUUCUUGGAUUAUCUCUUUGAAGAAGGAUUGAAAGCCUCCUUAUAUGUAUUCUGUCAAAAAAAUGGCAAAAAGAGAAAAAAAAAGGACUUAUGUACUUGAUCUACAGCUAUGUAUAACAGGUUGGGUUUUAAUUGAUCUGAUUGGUGAUGUCUAAUUAAAAAUAUUGCUUUAAAUGUUUUUUUCUCUUUGCAUUAUCAUGUGAAAUUUUUUUUAAAAAAAACUUUCUUCUUACUGCAGUUUGAUAUCUGAAAUUUCCAUUCUCACAAUUUGGUUUCUUUUGCACUACGGCACCGCCUUCUCGAAAUGAAUAGUACAUUUUCCUUAGCUACUCCAGAGCUUCUGUAGAUGUGCAGAAGCUCAUAAUCAGAACUUCUAUCUUUUAAGACUCAGAAGCUUAUUUAUUUAUUUUUCCAAGUUUUUGCUUUGCAGAAUAAAGAAGUAGCCAUGCAUGGAAAAGCAGCAUUUAGUUAUACUAGCUGUUACAUCUCUACAUGGAAAAUAAGAAAAUGAUUCCAUGGAUUGAUUGAACUGUCACAGGACCAUGAAAUAGGAUCAGUGAGCAUGCAAAGGGAAGAGUGAUAGCUGUCCAUCCUUUUCCCCUCAAUAAGCUUUCAAUGUGCAGGAUAUAUAUAUAUAUAUAUAUAUAGCUAGGUAUUAUUCUCCUAUACUGUGGGUUUAAGAAAACAAAUUAUUGGUCUUCGUGCAGGAUCUUUUUUCGAGCAUGCAGUACGUGUAGAUACGUACACUAGAGUCUAGACUGAAAAAAUAAUCGAUAUACAGACAAAAUUUAUUUACGAUAAAAUAUUUAUAUAUAGAGUAANAUAUAUAUAUAUAUAUAUAUAGCUUUUUAUGAUCAGCAUGCAUGGUUUGCCACCAUGCAAAAACAUUCUGUGAUGAUUGCCCCUGUAGAAGAUACUUGAGUGGUGAACUGUUGCUUGUUGUUUAUCUAUAUGGAUGUUACUGCUGUGAUAGUAACUUCCUCCUGUUGGAGAGGGAGAGGACACACACACACACACACACACAAAAAAAAAAAAAAAAAAAAAAAAAAGUUGUUGCUAGCCAGGGCAGCUGAUUGACAUUCUGUUGUGACGAGCACACAAAUAGAAACGAAAAUGACGAAAGUGAAGCAGACGAGCCACGAACAGAAAAAUAAAUAAUAUAUAAAUUUAUGUGAAAAUUUUUUUGUAGAAAAAAACAACAGGCGAAAAAGGAGAGGCUAUGGAAAAAAGAAGUACAAUGUUCUGAGUACAAUGAUCAAUUUUUCGCCUUUAGGGCAAAAUGAAGAAAAAAAACUCUUAACGAGCCCAAGCCCUCAGCUACCUACCACAGAUAUUCAUUUUUUCUUCACAAUUUAUUUUUCAAAUUGGUCGCACUGCAGAACUGUCGACGAGUCGGAGUCCUAAAACUGAAGUUCAUUACUCAUUUCGAGGCACAUUUAACACAUUAAAAAAAAAAAAAAAACCAGGGUAUAUAGGUGCGUGGUUUUCUGUAAAAGAAAAAGUGCUAAUACUUAAAUAGAAAAAGUGCUAAUACUUACAUUGGUACCUCCCAUGACGGUUUUCAAAGCUGUAUCACUCAAAAAAGAAAAAAAAAAUUAAUAUAAGAACCUUUUUUUAGACGAUACAUAGGGGAGCAUCCCUAUAAUAUAACAAGUAUCAUCGCUUCAAAAAACGCCAUCAAAUUAAUUUAUUUAAUAUUAAAUUUUACUAUUAUUUUUAAUUUUUUAAUACUUUAAAGCAUCAAAAUUUUAAAAAAUUCUGACGUUUUAAAGCGUCAGAAUAUAUUUUACCUACGCUAGGCAUAAGCAUCGGUAUAUAUGUAGCAACUCUUCAUUUAACGAUAUUUUAACCGACUUUCAAAUGUAACGCUAUACUAUAUUGGGAUGCUUUUAAGCAUCGUUUAAUAUAAAAAAAAAACAUCUUUAAAAUAUUUUUUUUUUUUAGUGUAUUACGACACCAGGCCUAUUGCAUUAUAUUUAUUCCAAACUAGUUAAUUAAGGCCAAUCACAUCCUAUUGAAUAUGAAAUUAUUAUUUUUUAUAUUUUUUUUUCUUCAACCAUCAAACAACUUCUUUUUUUUUUUUCUCUAUUUGGUUCAAGAUACUAGACCUACUAAUGUUCUCGCAAAUGCUAGCUAACUUUGGGCCCCCAUUGGGCCUGAGAUCUUUCGGCCCCAAAUCUACGGUUAUUUUUUUUUUUUUUUUUUUUUUUUUUUUUUUUUAAGUUAUUUUACUUACUAAGAGGUUACAAACAUGCAUGUUUAUUUAAACAAUGUAGAGAUAUCAUGAAUAUUAUUAUAUAAAGCUAAUUUACACAGUACAUGAAAUUCAAAAAUGGGCCCUAGCCUCUUCAAAAAAAAAAAAGUUCAUUAAUUGAACUCGACUUCUCGUGUAAUGGGUCCCAUAAUCAGCAUCUUUUAGUCUGUAAAAUCUUUGAUGCCCUGUUUGAAAGCAUGAAUAUUUUAUCCGGUAUAUCUCCAUAAUUUACUGGAGAAGCUUACACGAGUUAGUCAAUGAGAAGUGUGAUUAAAUAUCUAGAAUUGAAUAUUGAUAUUCGACCUUCAAAUUAUUUUUUCAGAUGAGAUAAAUCACUUUGUAGGUGAAUAUGUUGUCCUAUCUAAUUAUGAAUAUCAAAACUUUUCAAAGAGCAGAAAUCAAGCUUCUUUCUGACAAUCACAUUAGAAAAUUCUUAUACUGAAUAAAUUAUUUUUGAAUAACUUAUUCCGACUUUCAAAUAAUAAGGCGUAAGUGCCAACCAUUUAAGAUCAGGAUGCAUACCAAAUAACGUGCAUCGGAUCUCAUCUCAUUAGGGACUACUAUCCGAAGCAUCUGAUCCUCUAUCAUAAUAGAAUGCUAAACUCUUUUUUCUUUUGAUUUGAACUUUUCUCGAUUUAUUAUCUUUCAAACACAAUUCAUAUACGGUGAUUCCUCUUGCUUGUAGAUCUCUCUAUGCAACAUGAUCAAUUGAACAUCUUUAUGUUUUCCAAACACCCAUGAAAGAGCUCAUGAGAUUGAUUGAUUUUUGACAGCAUGUGGCCCUAAAUCCUCUACCAGGUGCACCACCCAUAUAUACAUGUAUAACCUCUUGCACAAUAAUUAAAUACCAAAAAGGAUGGCAUAGCAAACCCCCUCAACAAAUUUGAGGCCAAAUCCACUUGAAUCAUGAGUCAAUUUUUCUGCGAAAAAUUUAUCGUUCUCGAAAGGCCAAGAACACUUGCACUAGAUUUUGAUAUGUUUGCCGCAUCGCGAAUUCGACGAUCAGUUGUCGCCAACUAGAAGGUAUCGAUCGAGAAGACCAUACAAAAGAAGCUUUCACUCUUCCCUCAACAAACAAACAAACAAAACCAAAUCAAUACAAAAAGUCACUCUUUGGUGGCUACUUACAUACAUACCUGGCUAAGAUUUGAGGAACCAAGAUAUAUAUACAUGCAUUUAAAGCCACAACACACAUUUCAACUUGUUCAAUUAAAUGAAGGACCAUUGAUAUAUAUGAUGCAAUUUAAGAGCUAGUAUACUACUCUCCACAAAUUUUCAAAGCAUCAUUGGCUACCAUUUUUCCAUGUAUCUCACUCUAGAUUUUAUUGCCUUUUAAUUUCAACCAAAAAAAAGAAGAAAAAAACUAGAUCCAUGGAUUUUAAAACAUGUAUUGAUGUAUUGAUAAUAUCAUAGUAGUGGCAAUUUAAAGGGCCAAGAUAUAUAGAGAAAGAGGGGUUUAAAACAUGUAGUUCCCUUGUAUUAUGCAUUAGAACACUUUCCCGCGUAAAAUGAGAAGAAAUUAGAUGAAACUACAUGUGUUUAAAGAUUUCGAUACAAGGCCCUCCUAAUUUAAUUAUAUAUACAAUGUUGUAUGAUCCUUUAUUUAAUUUCCCGUCUACAAGAUAAUCAUAUA